UUAGAUUUAACCCGAUUCUAUUCAUCGUUCGAAUUAAUACACACAAAUAAAUACUAGCAUUAGCGAUACAUGAAUUAAACAAGCUCAUGAUUUACUAUCUAGAACAGAUCUUAGGGUAGUUGAGUGAGGAUCAUACCUAUAUACUCAAGGACUUAAUUUUAAAGACAAGGAAGCCAAAUACUUGCUAAUUGCAGCAGAAUAUUGAGCCCAGCUCCAAUGAAGCCUUCAACAGACUUUGUACCUACAGUGACUUUGUGUCAAGGAAAGACUGCCGACUGAUGCUAAUUGCAGCAGAAUAUUGAGCCCAACUCCAAUGACACCUUCAACAGACUUUGUACCUACAGUGACUUUGCGUCAAGGAAAGGCUUCCGACCAAACCUCCGACAAGCCGGAUAACACAACAGCAAACGUCAAGCCUCAGCGGCGAAUCAGAUCCGUGAACAGAACCUUGAAUGAACGACGGAACAGGGACCUCGAAUAGCUACCUCCGUCUACCUCGAACUCACACUCAAUAUAGUUCUCAGACGAGCACUCCAAGUAGCGAACCAAUUUAGAGAAGCAAAAUGCUUUUUCGGAAUUCGAUUAUCGAAUCCCCAACAGAAAUGUACAUAAGAUCGCGCCGGGAAACAAGCAACAAAACCAAUGAUCGAAAAUUCAACAAAUCUCAUAUUCAAUCACAACAAAUAACAAGUUGGCUCCGUCGGAAACGAACAGAGAACGACGAGUGGAACCUCGAUGUCGAUCUCUAAUGAAACCUCUGAUUUUCCGACUCACAUCGACUACUCUUGGCUGUUUCGAACUAGAUACAGAGAUUCAAAGGGUGGUUUGCUUUUUUUUUUUUUGUAAUUUUUUGUGUGUGUUUUUCUGUUUACACCAAUGUAUCAAUGGGGUGUUUUGAUGGCUGAAGACGAGGCAGAAGCUGGGGGAAAUCGACGGUGUGGGUGGUCGACGAAGGUUUUUGCGUGGAGAUCGUCGUUUGGCAAUAGAACCUGGUGGUAUGGAGGCUUGACCACUGGUGAAGGGUGGUCGAUGGAAGGGGUCGUUUGGUUUUUUGAAGAAGGAGCAGCAGGUGGUCGUUUCGGCGAAGCUUCUCACAUGGAGAAGAUCCCUAAACAGUAGUGUCCGUCCGUUUUUUGUGACUUUUUCUUCUUUUUUUCAAUGGCUGAUGGCUUCCCCCUUUUUGUAUUGUGCGGAAAUGGUUAUAUAGAGUGUAUGGGUAGGGUGUUAUGUGGGGGGAGUUUUAUUUGAGGUAAGAUGUUAUGUGAGGUAAUAUUUUUGGGGAAUGUUUCAGGUGGGAGAAUAUUUUGGGGGAAAGAUCUUAGAUGGGAGAAAUGAUUUGGGGGAAAAAAUAUUUUGGGAAGGUUCUUCCCAUUUUGUAUUUCUUUUUAUCUUCUUUUUUUAAAUUUAUUUAUUUAAUUUGUAUUUUUUUUCUGAUUUUGUUAAAUGCUAAAUUAAAACUCAAAGCCAAAUUAGCACUAAAAAUUAGAUUUCCUAAUUAUGCAAACUAAUACCAAUUUAAAUUUUAAAAUGCAAAAGGUACUAUUUUUGUUAUUUUCUUCCUAUUUUUUUUAAAUAAAUUAACCGUAAAUUAUUCCUAAAAUAUGAAAUUAGAUCCUAAAUGCAAAUGCGUAUUUUAUUAUUUUAUUAUUGUGAUUUUAAAAUAUUAAAAUGUAUGAAAUGAAACUACAAAAGAAAAAAUUUCUAAAAAAAACAAUAAAAGUUAUUUUGACUUACUUUUAGGAGUUAUCUUCAUGUAGGGUAAAAAUCAUGUGCUUACAGCCAUUUGAAAGGAAGGAGGUCAAGCAGGCUAUAUUUCAGAUAGAUAGUAACAAAAGUCUAGGCCAGAUGGUUAUGGAGUGGCUUCUACAAAGAUGCAUGGUCAAUAGUAGGAAAUAAAAUAACUAAAGCUAUACUGGAGUUCUUUCAGAAUGGGAAAUUGUUAAGACAACUCAACUCUACUAAUAUUGCACUCAUACCAAAGGUCGAGGCUCCUGAGAAUGCCAGCUAAUUCGGACCUAUAGCAUGCUGCAAUGUACUAUAUAAAUGCAUAUCUAAGAUGAUUUGUUCUAGAUUGAAACAUGCAGUUAAUCAUAUAGUUGCAGAAAAUCAGUCAGUAUUUGUAAGGGGAGAUUUAUGAUGCAUAAUGUAUUAAUAUGGCAUGACCUACUGAGACACUACAAUAGAAAAACUUCACCAAGAUGCCUAAUGAAGAUUGAUCUAACGAAGGCUUAUGAUAUGGUGAGUUGAGAGUUUAUAGAAGAAGCAAUGAAGGAAUAUGGGUUUUCACACAGAUUCAUACAGUAGACAAUGACUUGUGUAUCUACUGCCAAAUUCACAGUUAAAGUAAAUGGAGAAGGACAUGGGUACUUUAAAGGUAAUAGAGGUUUGAGUUGCUAUUUGUUCUGGUCAUGGAAUACAUGUCAAGAAUUCUGGGUACAAUAAGAAGACUUCCUGACUUCAGAUUCCAUCCUAUGUGCAAGACAAACAAGUUGACUCAUUUGAUCUUUGCUGAUGAUUUGAUGAUCUUCUGCAAAGGUAACCUCAAUUCAGUGAAUAGAGUGGUGGAGGCAAUAGACCAUUUCAGUAGAGUGACAUGGCUGAUUGUAAAUAUGGAGAAAUCCAACAUAUUCAUAGUUGGAGUUGCAGAUGAACUCAAACAAUAGAUGCUGAGAAGAACACAGUUCACAGAGAGGAAAUUUCCUAUCAAAUACCUGGGACUGCCACUAUCACCAAAUAGAUGGAAUAAGAUGAACUGCCAUAAGCUAAUUGAGAAAAUAACAUAGAGAAUCAAUGUUAUGUAUUCCAAACAACUUUCCUAUGCUGGGAGGCUUCAAGUGAUGAAUGCAGUGCUAUUUGCAAUGCAUAACUUUUGGGUUAAUAUCUUCAUAUUACCUCAAAGUGUAGCGAAAGGUGUAGAUAGACUAUGUAGGAAAUACUUUUGGGGAAAAAAGAAGAAACGAGGAAGGUGGCAUUGGUAGCUUGGGAUACAGUUUGUUGUCCAAAAAGUAUUUGGGGGGGAGGGGGCUAAACAUUAAAGGCUGCAAGAAUUGGAACAUAGCUUCAAUAGGCAAAUUGGUUUGGCGGUUGGCAAUAAAUAAGGAAUCUCUUUGGGUAAAGUGGUUACACGGAGUGUAUGUGAAAAAAAAUACUGAUCUAUGGACUCAUUCCCCACCAAUAGAUAGUAGUUGGUAUUGGAGGAAAUAAAAUACAAUCAAAGAGUUGAUGAGAGACUGGUAUAUACAGGGCAAAUAUGUGCUCAGAUACAGGGGAGUAUUCUAUAAACUCAAGCUAUAUUGCACUAAUGGGGAGUCAACAAAGAAUGAAGAUUGCUAACUUCUUACGGUCAGCAGUAGCUCAACCAAAACACAGAUUCAUAGGAUGGCUGGCAGCUCAAGAGAAAUUAUUGACUAAAGAUAGAAUGAUUGGAAUGAACAUACAGGUUGAAUAUGUCAAAUGGAUACUAUGUAAUGAAAUUGCAACGGAGACUUAGGUGCAUUUAUUUGUACAAUGUACAUGGACAAAAGCAGUACAACGUGAACUGAGCAGAUGGACAAACUCAAUGUAAUUAGAAUUUCUUUAUUAAUUGGAUGUAGCAGGCCUAAUUUCUACCAUGGGAAUUAGGUGCUCUAUAGGUGUAUAUGAUGUUUGAAGUUAAUGGUAAUUCACAUUGUUAUCAAAUAAAAUUAUUUCUGACUGUUCUUGAUCGGAAAUCUAGAAGUCCGUUGAAAAACAUGCACUUUUCUAGUAACGAGGUUUAGGGUUUGGAGUUCAGUAUUUACGUGUAACACAACUAGCUAAUUAAUAUUACCUGACGUAAACUUGUGAAAGAUAACAACAAUAGGAAGCAUAAGUAUACAUUUAGCCUUGCCAUUGAUUUCCAGUACAUAUCAACUUGUCCAAGUAUUUUUUAUUUAUUUUUUGGUUAUGCCAAGAAGUUAAAUAGCGUGGUUCAAUGUUCAACUGUUUGAAUUCACUGCCUAGAAAUAGCAAUUGGGUAAUUCUAUUUAUUAUUUUUUGCCCUGUAAUUGUUUUAUGAAAAAACUUAUUUAAUGUGACUUAAGUAGGUUUAAAGCCAUUGCGUCUUAGAGAAGAAAAUUAAUUCCUUGUUAUAAAUAGAAUUCUAUUUACGGUGAAUAUCUACAUUUAGAGAGAUUCUAGGGUCUAUUAUUUGUUGGCUAAGUCACUCUCUCCCUAUAAAUAGAGGGUUCUAUUCCAUUGUAAUUCAUCACAUAUCAAUAAAAAUUCACCCUCUCUUUACUUUGCCCUGCAAUACUCUUCUUUUUCUUUUAUUGUUUCGUAACACAUUAUCAACACGAGACUAUAACCAAUUGAGUAGGAACUUUGGGAUUGAUCAUAAUGAUUGUCAAUUAUUUUAUGAACUAUAACACACUAUCAACAUGAGACUAUAACCAAUUGAGUAGGAACUUUGGGAUUGAUCAUAAUGACUCCCUAUAAAUAGAGGGUUCUUUUCCAUUGUAAUUCAUCACAUAUCAAUAAAAAUUCACCCUCUCUUUACUUUGCCCUGCAAUACUCUUCUUUUUCUUUUAUUGUUUCGUAACACAUUAUCAACACGAGACUAUAACCAAUUGAGUAGGAACUUUGGGAUUGAUCAUAAUGAUUGUCAAUUAUUUUAUGAACUUCCUUCAUGAUUAAAUUUUGAAUUUAUGGUAUUUUACUUUCCUCUUUUAAAUUCUUGAUAUUCUAUAAUUUGGUUUUAAAUACAAGAAAAGACGAUAAAUUUAAAUUGCAACUCUAAUGGAGUUUGAAAGAAAUUAUAACCACCCAAAGUGGUAAAAUUUUUAUACCUUGCCAUGAUCAAAAUUCAUGUAUGAUUGUGGGCAAAGAAUUGAAAACCCGACCAAUUGAAUUUGCUCCAUUCUUAUUCCCUCUAGGGAAUGUGAUAGCAGUAUAUGGUAAGUAUGAAAGAAGACAAAAUUACUACUAUGAAUGUAUAGAUGUGGACGUGGUAAUAUACGAAAUUAUAAUCAUCAUUAUUGUAAUAUUAAGAAUAAUACGAAUUCUCAAAAUAAUCCUUCACUCUGUGAAAGUAACAUUUGUCAUCGAUUUGACAUGUUCUAUAAAGCACAUAUAGCUGAUUAUGGUCCAUUCAUUAUGUGAAUGUGACAACAUCUAUUUUAUGAAUACAUAUUCAUUUUUGGAAGAAUAUGAACGUGCUAAUGGUAGUGAAUAUACCACACUCACCUAUAGAUGGAGGUUGAGAUGAAAUAAGAAAAUAAUGUCAUUAUUAUGGAAUGAUCACUGGUCACAUACUUAUUGUAUGCCAAAUUAUUACGCCAAGGUAAUUAUUAAAAGGCAAUGGUAAUGCAAGAAACAGAAUUUGCAUAUAAUUUGACUGUGACCACAAUGGUAUAACUUAUUCUUUAAAAGGGAUAUUCAUCACAUGGAUGUUGAUGAAUCUGUGGUAGUACAAAAUUAAUUGAGAGAUCUGGAAGAGACAAUUAUUACUAUUUUGGAUGAAUAUAAUUGAUUACGUGUCAAUUUAUUGUGUUUUAGUAAGUGUGAAAGAAACUUAUUCAGUUUUAAAAGUACACGCGAAAGCGGUUAAUUAUAUUGAGAUUAUAAAUAAAGGAAAGAUUUAAUAUCUUCUAUUACUACAACUUGUAGCGGNNNNNNNNNNNNNNNNNNNNNNNNNNNNNNNNNNNNNNUUGCAAGGUUUUUAAUGAGGCAACCAAAAGGCGUAUUGUUAUAUAUAUGUUAUCCGCGUUAUUCUCCAGUUUCUACUACACAAAUAAAAGAACAUCAUACUAAAGUGGAUGUUUACUGAUAUAAAAACAUAUAUCAUAAUAAACUUGGAAUUUAUUGAUAAUUGCACAUGUCAUGGUGUAAACCUCAACUUAUCAAUAUUGAUAAUUUAUUCAGUUGGCAUAAUCAGUUUAACCAUAUCAAUUUCAGUAUGAUGUGCAAAAAUAAUAGAGAAUUCACAUGGAUAAAUAUUAAAGAACUAGAAAGUUCUUUACGAAUUCUCUUAUAUUGCUUGUUCUCAUUAAUUAAUUGACCAACUAAAGUUGGGAAUGAAUCCCAUAAAUUACUGAAAAUAUCAAAGGUGAAUAUGGGCUCAUUCACCUGCCAUGUAUACUACAUAAGAUGCAACUAUGUGAUGAUCACGUACAAUUAAUAUAAACCCGGAACCUGGCCGGUGCUUGCGAGGUAACUUGAUCAGUAAUUUAAUUUUGAGCAUAAUUUCUAGAUUUUCUAUUCAAGAAGUUCAUCUUGACAAGUUGCAUUAUAUUACAUUUAGUGUAGCAAAAUAAUUUAUUGAGUGCCUCCACUUAAUAUCUAAACUAUUUCAUAUGAGAACAAAGUUACAUAUAUCAAUUUGAUAUAUGUUAUAUACGAAAGUAUAUUGCUUCCCCCCCUCCCCCCUCUCUAGGUGGUUCAAGGUCAGGAACAAAAUAAUUACAUCUUAUUAUUAUUGAUGUGCGGUGUAUAUAUUCAUUAACAUCAUAACACAUAAAUAUGAGUUCCCAAAAUUGAGGAAAAAAGUUAGUUUUUUUAACAUGAGGGGGAGACGUGAUAAAUAGUUGAGAAAACGUUACGUAGAACAGAUUAUCAUUUGUAUACAUAGAUCCUCGAAUAUCAUAAUAUGAACUUGAGAUUCAUAAAAAGAUAAUUCAAUUGCAAUAUAUUGCAAAGCGUGCCAUACGCAUAUGUUGACCCAAAGAAAGUAACUAUAUUCUCAUUGCAAAUGAUCAUAUUAAGUUCUGGAAGGACAAAGUCUAUGGUACGCUUAAAGCGUAUAGACAAAUCGGUUUCAAAUAAAUUUCUUGAUAAAAAAGAUGAGUAAAUGAUCAAAGUGAUCAUAAUAAAGGAGACAAGUGAUCUAGAAGGUCACAUGACAUAACACUUCAUAAAAUCUCAUGAUAGAUUCAGGUACAUGAAUACAUAAAUGAAGAGAUCUAUGUUAUAUCUUUAGAAAAAAUAUUUGAACCGAUAUAACAUAUUCGUCGACGACAUCUAUGAUAGAGCUAAAUAUAGUGUUAUGAAAAGUUAUUGGAACCGAUAUAAAAUAUUUGUCGACGACAUCUAUCAUAGCGCUAGGUAUAUAUGGGGAUCUUAAUUCUAUUGAAUAUAGACACAAAAAUAUUGGCCAAAUGGAACAGGCACAAUUCAAGUAGAAUUGAUUCCAUAUGAAAGACAUAUAGUUUUGGACCUGAAGUUAAAACACUUAAAAGUAUAAAGUCAAUAGUAUGUGCAAUCAGUUUUCGAUAUCUUAUUUGUCUAGCAUGAUAUAAAAACUUGAUAUGCAUCUAAUUAAAGUCUAUUAUAUGACUUAUAUGACUAUACUUAUAUGACAAUCCUUGAAGGAUUUAAAUCUCUUAAAGCAUAUACAAUUCUUGGUCAUGAAGUACCACAUCCUAAGUGUAAAUUGUGUACACAUGCAUCUUGCUAUAACUAUAAGCAUGAUGAUAGCGAGAAUACCUCUAUGGAGAUAUUGAAGAGUCAUUCCACGAUAUUAUAUGAAGAUGUUAUAUAUCUAUCAAGAAUGAUGAUUUCAACGUGUAUGCAUUCAAGUCAAUAUAGUUGAUUUCAUUAUCAAAAUCUCUACCAACAAUCUUUUGAAGAUGUUAUACAAGAUUUGAAUGUGAAGGCUCAAAGAUGCGAAUUGAUGCUCUCAUCAGGGGGAGUUAAUGCGUGUUGUACUCUUUUUACCUUACAAGGUUUUGUCCUACUGGGUUUUCCUUGCAAGGUUUUUAAUGAGGCAACCAAAAGGCGUAUUGUUAGAUAUGUGUACUCUUUUCCUUCUCUAGAAUUUUUUUCCACCUGAUUUUAUUUAGUUAAGGUAUUAACGAUGCACAUUAUCUGUUGAAUAGACAUUUAGGGGAGUGUUAUAAAUAGAAUUUUAUUUAUGGUGAAUGCCCAUAUUUAAAGAGAUCCUAGGAAUUAUUACUGGUGGUCAAAUCACUCUCUCCCUAUAAAUAUAGAGUUCUAAUCCAUUGUAAUUCAUUCCUAAUUUAUUUAUUACAAUUCUUCCAGUAUAAUCUUUGAAUAAGUGCAUUAUAUGCGCUUUUUUACAUGGAAAUUAUGCUGAUAUAUUAUUUAACUACUAUAAUCAUAUAAAACUAACAUGGUUCAUAUUACCUAGUCCAAAAAGUCGUUGAAUUUGAAUCAAACGUGUGGGUAACCAUGGUAGGUUUGCAGUGCUACAACUUUCUUUUCUUUAUUCAAGUAGUUCAAUUCUUUAACUAGAAGGCCGAAUGAGAGGCUCUUUUCCUUUAAUUUUUGGGCUGGGUUUGGGACUGCUUCUACAGGGAAGAAAAGGAGAAUAGAAAAAUAGCCAGAUUUACAAGUAGCUAUUACAAAAAUAAUCACAGUUUUAAAAAUAAUCGAAUUUUAAUUAAUUUUUUAUGUAAAAAUAAAUUUAAACGAAAACAUUAUUUAAACUCCGAAAAAUACUUCAGCAUAAUAUACUGAAAUUUCAGCAUAAGUAUACUGGAACUCCAGCAUAUUAUAAUAGAGUUCCAUCAUAAGUAUACUGGAACUCUAGCAUAAUAUACUGGAGUUCCAGUAUAAUAUACCGGUCCAGUAUAAUAUGCUGGAAAUUCACUGGUGCUCCAAUCUCCAGUAUAUUAUGCUGGAAAUUUUCGCGUGCUGGAGUUCCAGCAUAAUAUGCUGGAAGUUCAUACACAAGUGCACUGAUCUCCAGCAUAUUAUGCUGGAACCUUUGUGUUUCAGCAAAACAGUGACUAUUUUUCAAUGACUUUGCAAACAUUAACUAUUUUUCAAUGACUUUGCAAACACUGACUAUUUUACAAUGACCAGUCCAAAAAUUGACUAGCCCGUACUAUUUUUAUGAGAAUAGAUUGUGUAAAAUCAUUAAUUUAUCUAAAGCAGCUCAAAUUUCUUUACUAUGAUAAGCUCUCGGUAUGUAAUGCUUUUAAGUCACAAUCCCAUAGACAUUCAACCUGCUUAACAAAAAUCUUGCUUUUUUACAUAAUGGUGAUGUCCAAGACAGGGGGCGAAGUGGUUUGCCUAAACCUCCUUUAUCAGAAAAUUAUAUUGUGCAUAUGAAGUAAAAUUUAUUUUAUGUCUUUAUAUAUUUUAUUUUGAAUUUCAUUAAUACAAGCCAAAAGCAUAGUUUAGUCGUCAAGGGGAAUCAAAAUCAUUGUGGGGUUGCUGGUUCUAACUCCCGCCGGUCGUCUCUUUUAAUAUUUCUUUUCGGCUAUGUCAUCUUGCAGGUAGGCCCUCCACGACUCUACCGGUACAAAUACCAGAUAACUUUUUAUCUAUCAUGUCUUCAAUUGAUAUGUGAUAACAAUAUCAAAUAGAUAUGCAUAUACUUGAUUUAUUGAAAAGGCAGGAUGUAACACAAUACCAAAAUUUAAAGAUAGCUGAUAUCUUCACUUGAAUAUUGUUGUAAAAGAGGCUGCCUUAUUUAAACAUAGUUGCUCUUUUUAUUUGAAUUCAGUUAACAGCAUUAAGAAACUUCAAAAAUAAGGAAAAGAUUGAAACUCUUCAUUUGGCAACUCAGCCUCCUAUAUUUGAUACUAUAAUUUGAUUUUUCAGCUCUUCAAUUGGUUGCCGAAGUCCUUCUAUAACCUGAGAGAAAAACCAAUGAUCAUCUAAUUCCUCUUUCCAGCAACAAUUACAAGUUUUGCAACUCUAUUUAUACUAACCGAUUUCGUGUCCUUAAGAGCAGCUUCCAAUGCCUGGAUUUUCUGUACCAUAAAACUAAUAAAGAUUUACUAUUGUAAAGAGAAAGAAUCAGGGCAACCCGGUUCCCUAAGCUCUCACUAUGCGCGGUAUCCAGAAAAGGACCGGACCACAAGGGUCUAUUGUACGCAGUCUUAACCUGCAUUUCUGCAAGAGGCUGUUUCCAUAAAGAGAAAGAACCAGGAAGAGGAAAAAAAACCAUGAAAAAAAUACUUACUGUUUUUGUAUCAUUAACAACACUCUGAAGUGUUAGGAUCUUCUGUAGAAAUGGCUGAUUAGUAAGUCUUGCUACCUCAAAUGUAUCAUUUCUUGAUGGAGUCAUAUCAUAAACAUCCUUAAUAUGUACAUUAUCCUGUUGCAUUUAAAAGGCUCGAGAUCAGACACUCGAAUCCUAGAUAUUUUUAUGUGAUUUUUGUCACACUUGUUAUCAGGAAACUACAAUUUUGCUUACAGUAACACCACCAGAGGCAUCCUUUGCAGCACGACCGUUCUUUUUUUCAUCUCCAUUCUCCUCUUCAGCUUCAACCAUUGCCUACAAAAAAUGUGACUUCUAUGACUGGAGACUAUGGACUUUGUUUAAUUUGAAUCAUAGCAACAGGUUAAAACCUGAAGUAUAGUUGUAACGGCAGGGUCAUUCCAGGGUCCUUUGUCGCUAAAGAGGCAACCUCCAUAGUUGGAACAUGUGCAGUCGCCACCGAAGAAAGUUGGAAGGUUACUGCAGAAGCAAUUUCAUGAAUCAGAAGUCCUACAGCAACCUCCGAUACGCGUAAUUGCAUCCAUUCGUGCUAAACAGAAAUUGGAAAAAUGUUGAGCUGCUUAAUUUUUACCUCGGAUCAAUAACUUCAAGUAAGGUCUUCGUGUAGUUGCUCCCAAGCACCUGUAAUUUAUGGUGUAUGUCUUAAAAGUCUUAUUUCCUUCCCUGGUUGGCCUACAUUAAUCCAGAAACAUGUGGGGGUUGGGGUAGUAAAGGAAAGUACUUGAAUCUUUGCUAGGGUGCGUUGAUCAAGAAAUGUCUUGAUUGCUUUCCACAGGACCUUAAAUCCAGAUCCAGCAUUAAUGAUAAAAAGGCGAUGCAACGUCUGCAAAAAGUGCAAAUGGAAGAAAUGGAAUUAAAGAUAUACGAUUCGGGAAACGAUUACUUAACAGAAACUCCACUUUAGUAAGAAAAACCAUGAAGGAAGAAAGCAUUGAAAGUUCAUUAAAAGUUGAUCAUCCAUAGAAUAUGAAACUGUGUUUAGUACAUAUUAAGGUCAGUAUUAAGACUAACCAACAAUCCAAUUCAAGUUAAGAUAACUCAAAGGGAAGGAAUAGGAUAUUACACUGAUGAUUGGAAAAUGAUAUUAUUCUGUCAAUGGAGGUUCAAGUAAAACAUAAGGGAAUUUUAACGUCUAACUUGAUCGUCAAGAAUGUCUAUUUGACUAGCACCAUAUUAGCAUACCUCUGGAUAAUAGUGACUGUCAAUCUUCUGAAUUUCCAGAAAGAGAUACCUUGCAGGCUUUGAAAAAUUAGAAAUUCCCUGUCAAAGAAGAUAUGUUUCUUAAGCUUACAGCAAAGAAUCUAAGCAUCCAUUUGCUAUCAACAACACAGAAUUCUAGGAAGCGCUGAGCAUCUAUGUAUGGAACUUGUGCAUGGCAAGUUGUCAUCAAAGAAUUUCUAACUUUUUUGAAAUUCAUUGGAUGAAACUCUUACAACAGACAUAGUGAAACAAUAAAGUACAUCCAAUUAUAUUAAUAGCUGAUCUCCUACAAGUCAACCAUUUAAUAUGUGAAAUUCAUAACAGGAGACGAAUGCUGAAUUAAGUAAAAACCUUACAAUUUUCUAGUUCACAUGAAAAGUACAUUAAGGAACUAUCGCUUGGAUAUAUAGGGACAUUGGCCAUGCCAGAUAUUUGUCCUAAUUAUCAGAUGCAGUGAGAGAUUUAGACUUUGCUACGUGUGCCCAAUUUCGGUUUGUCUUCGUUUUCCACAAAUAGGAGAGGAAAAAAGCAAUCUUACCAUAGUCCCACUCAGGAAUUAUAUGGUUGUGCUGAGCAAAUUUUCCCAACGCGUGCACAAUGAUCAAAUCAUUUUAUCAGAAUAGCUUAGAAAACCAAUCCAAAUAACUCUUUUCAAUUUAUAACGGACAGCGGCAGUGAAUGCUAUGAAGUUUGAAAACAAUGAACGGCAGCAUGGCGGAGUAAUAGAAUAGUGUUCUUUUUGCAUAUCAGCCGCCAAGUAUACUUAUGACAUAGACAACUGAUUGCAAAUAAAUUGUGCAUCUUACUUCAUAUAGCUGAAAAGUAUGGACAAGAUACAAUAUGAUGCUAAAUGCAGUUUUAAUACUAUUUAACAGCUAGGUAGUGAAGCUUUAAGGCAACACAAAGUGCAUUUAUUGAGACAAGAAAGAAACAUAUGCAUCAUAUUCCAUGAUCCCAAAGGAUGAAGGUUUUAUCAUCUCAAAUAUGAUUUACUACCAACGGGACAAAAAUAAACAGAUAUUUGAUUCCAUCAUCUUUGAGAUUCAGUACAUGAAAUUGCUACUCAACACCUAUAAAUCAAGUUAGCUGAGAUGCAAGCCUCAAACUGAAGUAUACAGUAAAGACAUGCACUAGCACUUGAUCACACGCAUAAUUGAAAGCUAAAAUGGUAGACAAAGCAGAUAUUUACCACAUCCUUCACAUCCAAGAUGCUGACGGUUGAAGCUAUAUGCUUCUUUGCAGCAAGUGAACAAGCAGGGUAUCUCCAGUUCAAUGUUUUCUCUUGUUCAGUCACAUGAUAUUUCACAAAUCUCUCAAUACUAGUUACUUCAAGGAGCCUAUUGAGAUUUACCAUUCCAAUUCUUUCAAUGUAAAUUGGUCGACCAUAUCUAUCGACUCCAUGAAAUCCAUGUGGAUAACACUUUUUAACCUCAUUAAAUUCCUCAAAGUUGAGUUCCUGCAGUAUGAUUCGACCCCAAAAAUUUCACAAAGAAUCAAAGGACUAUCCAAUAUGAAGGAACUUGUCGAUAAAGUUUAAUUAGAAGUAGGACAUUCCCAAAACAUAAAUCCUUCAGUAUUAGUGUUUGAACAAGUAUAAUCUGAGUAUUCAGUAACUUUACAAGCAAAACGCGAAAUAAGUCUUCUAACAAUAUUAAAGGGCAGCCUGGUGCAUUAAGCUCCUGCUAUACGUGGAGUCUGGACAAGGCCAGACCACAAGGGUCUAUUGUGCGCAACCUUACCCUGACUUUCAAAUUAUUAGCAUAAAUGGAUCUCACCUCAGAAAGUGCAUCGACAUGAAACUCCUCUCGCCACUUCAGAUAGUUCAAAUACAUAUUCUUCGCUUUUGUAAGAUCAUAGUCCCUCAUUCUAAGAAAUCUGUGUAUCACAAUAAGAACAGCAAACUCAAUUUCUGUACUCUUUUCUAACUGAAAAUAUUCGCUUUACAAAUUUUACUGGAUUGACAACAUAAUAAACAGUAACAGCGCGGCAUACCUUAAAAGUGUAUGAUAGUCACUGUGUUUUCCUGGCAGCUGACCCUCAAGAAAAAGCAACUGACGAAACGAGUCAACAAUUUGUUCAUCUUUAGGCUCAUGUGAUCCUUCAAGAAUUGUUCGUAGACUUUUGCUCUUUUGAACUCCCUUCUUUAACGACAACGACACUAUGGUUUUUAAGGUUCUUGAUCCGGUAGACUUCUUGCGCUCUUUUGUAGGUGGUAACUGCCAAAAUGUUUCAAUAGGGGGAUGGAGAAUUUUGGCCUUCUGUUUAAUAGAUUGGCUUUCCUUAGAACUCGAAGAUCGUUUGCUCCCUCUAAUACCAGCGGAAAUUAAUAUUUCCUUAAAGGUAUCUUUUGAUGUUUGCAUGUGUGGCUACUUAUACUGUAAACAACAAAAACAGAAUCAACUAAACAAGGCUCUACUAAAUUUAUAGGACUUAUAAGGAUAAGUCGCUGUAAUGGUGUUAUCCUUCUUUAACGACAACGACAUUAUGGUUUUUAAGGUUCUUGAUCCGGUAGACUUCUUGCGCUCUUUUGUAGGUGGUAACUGCCAAAAUGUUUCAAUAGGGGGAUGGAGAAUUUUGGCCUUCUGUUUAAUAGAUUGGCUUUCCUUAGAACUCGAAGAUCGUUUGCUCCCUCUAAUACCAGCGGAAAUUAAUAUUUCCUUAAAGGUAUCUUUUGAUGUUUGCAUGUGUGGCUACUUAUACUGUAAACAACAAAAACAGAAUCAACUAAACAAGGCUCUACUAAAUUUAUAGGACUUAUAAGGAUAAGUCGCUGUAAUGGUGUUAUAAUUAAAGCAAUGAUUCAUAUCUAAGCCUCCAUCAAGUUCAGAAUUCAACAAAGAUCAAAAAGAGAACUGAGAUGAAACAAGAGAAUUAAAUUUCUAGACAAUGUAAUGACUGUUAAAAGAUGAGACAGCGGUAAACUCUAUUGACAGACAAAAGAAACAAUUCAUUUUAAGUGUAUUCAACAAAAGCAACAUUGCUGGCCAUGUUCAGCAACAACUAUACCUCAGUUCCAAGCUAGUUGGGGUCGGCUGUAUAAUCCCCAAUAUCAUGAAUGCUCUCUUUAAGUCCAUAAUAUUUAAUUCUCCGUACUUAAAGAUUAUCUAACACUCUAAUACACUAAGAGUGUUCUAAUAAGCACUAGUCUUCUAGUUGAUAUCACCCAUAUUAAUUUUCAAGUUCCUGUUUUUGUUCCCUAUAUUUUGGUAGAUUUGCCUGGAUUCUGAGAUAUUCUACAUCUUUUGAGAUAACUUAUUUCAACACCAUUUUCGGCCUACCUCUUCCUCUAACACCUUCAUUCGUCAUGCUUCCAUAUUUAAAAACUGGUGCAUCUGAAAGCCUAAGUAACAUGUGACCAUACCAUCUCAAACUAUAUUCUCUCAAUUUAUCCUCUAUAUGUGCUACUUGCACCUUCUGACAGAUGUGAUCGUUUAUGAUCUUAUCCAAUCUUGUAUCACCGCACAUCCAACUUAACAUUGCAUCUCCGCACAGUACUCAUCUUAUAAUAUGUCAGGCUUUAGAGGCCUAGGGAAUUAAUCAAUAGGGGCCAAAAUCGAAGAACCCUCAGAACACUGAUAUCAAAACCUAACUUAACAAGAACAUUUACAACAUGCAAAUUACAACAACAGCAACAAACUAAGUAUAAUCCCACAAGUGGGGUUUAGGGAGGGUAGUGAAUAGGCAGACCUUACCCUACUUUUAAGAAGUUAAAGAGAUUAUUUCAAGUAGACCCUCGGCUCAGGAAAGAUAAAAAGAAUGAGCAACAACAAGCAAAAACCAAUCAGAAACCGAAGCGAAAAUACAACACUAACAAUAAGUAAUUACAAAACCAAAGCGAAAAUGCAAAGUAAUUAAUAUCAAUUACAAAACAGAUUAUUGUUCUCUCUGGGAACUGAAUUAAACAAAACACUAAAGGGUCAAAACAAGGAAAGUAUACUCAAAUUUCAAGAAUAUAGAAAUGAGCAUAGAAAUCAAAAGAGAGAACUUUGCCUCUAAAAUUCGGAAAAGAAUGAAGAAUCCCAAAGAAGGGAAGAGAAUGCAGGGAUUGAGGAAUGAAGAGAAAGAGAUAAAUUUGGGUGCAUUUGAGCUAAUUGAAGGGGUGAAAUUGUGAUCAACAAAUAUGCCAUUCUUUUUGUGAAUAUUGGAAUGAAAUUAUUUUCGAAUGUUUGAUUUUCAAGAAACCCCGGGAAAUCCCAUGACAGCUAACUAUAGCUUAACUAUUUUUAGUAACAUUUAGUAUUAGGACAACGAACAAGGUAUAAUAUUUAGUAUUAGUACAACAAAUAAGGUAUAAUAUUUAGUAUUAGUACAACAAAAAAGGUAGAAUUUAGGUUAGUAAUGAUAAUAAAGAAUGAAUAAAAUCAUUGACAUUAACAAAAAGCAGAAAAUACCUUUUCUCAAUCAGGAGAAAUGCAUAUUCUGAAACGUGUUACACUAAGGAAAGUAGAAAGUAGGUAACUGGUUGUUUUUUUCUUUUUUUUAUUUACAUGCAAUUUGCAAAAGAGUUUAACAGAGUGUCCCAUUUUUAAACAGCAAAUUAUAACAAAAAAUAUAAUCGAGUGUCCUUUUUAAAAUCGUCAUUUAUAUUUUUUGGAAAAAAACUGCAUUUCUUCAGCCAAGUUCACUGGAAUCUUGAUCCAAUAAAGUUGUAGAAGAACUAUAAAAAAAAUAGUAUGUCUAGACUUUAAACCAAACUUGAUCUAAGAUUGUCCGUAAAGUUCAUUAAAGUUUACUGAAAAUUUUAAACUUGAUGGUUCUAAAAUUUGAAAAAAAUAUAAAAUUUCAAUGAAGCUCAAUACACUAAGCUUUUACUGUGUACGAUGUUCAAAAAAGGAUCGAAGGAUUUAUUGUAUAAUUUGUUAUCAGGAAGCUACAGCGUAAACUUUACCUUCGCAAUGUUCAAUGCAUAGUUAUAUUUGCAAACUUUUUAAAACAUGAUAAAAUAAAAUAUAAACAAUGGCCUCAAAAGGGGUUAUUUGUGUACUUCAUUGCUCGGCCCAAUUUUGAGUUUUAAAGUGGAUAGUCUUGGAUCACCUGAAAACCCCAAAAUUCAUGGAGAAAUUAAAAAAUAGUUAAAUUUAUAAGUGGUUAUUUAAAAAUAGUUAGAGUUUUAAAAGUAGUCGAAAUUUAGUCAUGUUUUACGUAAAUAUAAAUUUGAACGAAAAUACUAUCCAAAAUCCAGAAAAUACUCCAAUAUAAUAUAUUAGAACACCAGUAAAAUAUACUGGAGUUCUAGUAUAAUUAGCGGUCCAGCAUAAUAUACAUAAACUUUUCACGUGUUAGAGUUCCGGCAUAAUAUGCUGGAAGUUCAUACAGAGAUACACUUAUCUCCAGUAUAUUAUGCUGGAACUUUUGGUGUUGCAGCAAAAUGGUGGUCAUUUUUCAAUGACUUUACAAACGUUAGCUAUUUUUGAAUGAUCAGUCCGAAAACUGGCUAACCCGUGCUAUUUUUACCAAAAUUCAAGCAAUGCUACAACAGCCGACCUAAAUAGUUAUAUUUUUAAUUUUAUUUUAUUUUUUCUGAUUAAAUAGUUUUUUUUUUUCAAAGCUCUUUUACCAGUCAGGAGAUAAUUUCUUCACGCAUCAAUACAUUAUUUCUUUCUCUACAUAAUAUUAUUAUUGGAGUAGGCCUAAAAAUACCACUCAACUUUCAAAAAUGGUCUAUUCAUGUCAUUCGUUUAAAAAAUACUCAUUUCAUGCCACUGCCGUUACACAUUUGGCUCAUCCAUGCCAUUUGACUAACCGCUCAAUUUUUAUUUGGCUCAUCCAUGCCAUUGCUGCUAGUCAAUAAUGGCAUGGAUGUGCCAAAUGUAUAACGGCAGUGGCAUGAAAUAAGUAUUUUUUAAACGAAUGGUAUGAAUAGGCUAUUUCUGAAAAUUAAGUAGCAUUUUUUGGCCUUUUUCCUACUAUUAUUAUUUAGAGAUUCAAAUAACUUUUUCUUUGGUGAUAACUUACAAUUAUUUUUGUAAAUACAUGAAUUUUAUUUUUCGAAUAUUAAGGAAUCAAUUUUUUCAUUUUCACCGAAUUUUCGAUGCUUUAACUUUUAGGAAAGAUUAAUUAAGUCCCAAGUAGGAGGCGAUAUUUGAUUCUCUAUUUCUUGUAGGAUGAGCAAUGUAAUUACCAUAAUUAAUUUUUUCUUUCCGAAAAAAAUAUAUAAUUCUUUUAUAUUUGGCUAGUUCUUUUCUUGGAGAAAAAUAUUUGGACUUCUAUAAAUUGAGGAUUCUUCCUUCUAAUUCAGUGGCAUCUACAUUGUAGCUAUACGGGAUUUCAGAGUAUUGUUCAGCGGUAGGAUUUUUCGAGACAAGUGUUAGUGUAUUAUUUGUAUUUGCCUUUCGUGAGUUGUUCUCUCGAUAUUUUUUACUCUCUUUUAUAUAGUAGAUUGCUCAUCACUGCCGUAGAUGUAUGUCAAAUGACCAAGCCACGUUAAAUGUUUAUGUCUCUUUUGGUAUAUUUUUCGUACAUUAUCUGAUUUAUCGUUGUUUAAAAUUUGUUUUACUAAAUUUCGUAUGACAUUUGAUUAUUUCGAUCCUAAGACUAAGUUGGUACAUUGAUUUACUUCUUACAAUAAUUCUCCUUUAUAAGAUUUAAUUUUUACUUAUUUGGUUAAAUAUUUUUUUCAUAACAAGCUUUAUUUUGAUCUUAUUAACAGAAUAUAAACACACUUGGCCUCCUUUUUUGCUACAGUUGCGAAUACAAAUUUCGUAAUAACCUUUUAAUGUCCCUACGAUCCACUGAAGAAAACUUUUGACUAUUUUAAUUUUCGUGGUUUCUAAGUCUCGUUAGUUUUUAGUUUUUUAAGAUAACUUUUGGCUCAUCACAAUCAUUUAACAAUAGCAAUCACUCGUUCUCUUGUGUUUGACCAAGACAAGUUUGUUGUACUUAUAAAUUUGUUCUUUAAUCCAUUCAAAUAUGCAAUGGGAUUGAGCAGUCUUUAAUUCUUCGACAAACUUAAAUUAGUCGAAGCCCAUAAGUUGGUCGAUAAAAUGCCCCCACUGGCAUCGAGUGUGAUCCAUUAUUAAAUUUAGAACCGUAGAAACCUUCAAUUAUUUCUUGUUGAGAAUUCCACGAUUCCUACUUUUGCAUCCUAAGGAUGUCAGUAGUGCGUUUGUUAGAUAAAUAUAAGAAACUAAGAAAGUAUGUGUACCCAAUUAAAUUUAUAAUGUAACUUUAAGAAUAUUCGACUUCACCUAAUACAAAUUAAUAGACGUAAAGAUAAGUAGUGGAAAUUGACAUAAUAUAAAGCAAACUAGCAUCUGAACAGAACCCUCGAGUUUGGAUACUGAUAAUACAUAAAUUAGACUAUAAUUAGUGUAAACAUUCAUAUUAGACCGAGAAAUCAUAGAAAAUCUAGAGAGAGAAAGUAGAGAGNNNNNNNNNNNNNNNNNNNNNNNNNNNNNNNNNNNNNNNNNNNNNNNNNNNNNNNNNNNNNNNNNNNNNNNNNNNNNNNNNNNNNNNNNNNNNNNNNNNNNNNNNNNNNNNNNNNNNNNNNNNNNNNNNNNNNNNNNNNNNNNNNNNNNNNNNNNNNNNNNNNNNNNNNNNNNNNNNNNNNNNNNNNNNNNNNNNNNNNNNNNNNNNNNNNNNNNNNNNNNNNNNNNNNNNNNNNNNNNNNNNNNNNNNNNNNNNNNNNNNNNNNNNNNNNNNNNNNNNNNNNNNNNNNNNNNNNNNNNNNNNNNNNNNNNNNNNNNNNNNNNNNNNNNNNNNNNNNNNNNNNNNNNNNNNNNNNNNNNNNNNNNNNNNNNNNCAUAAUCAUCACAGCCCAUGCUAUUGUAUACCAGAAAUACAAUAAAUAUACACUGUGUAUACACUCCAUAUAAUCAUGUAAUUUCCUUCAUGUCAACACCCCCCCCCCCUCAAGUUGUAGGGGGAAACCACCUGCAACUUGCUGAGCAGCAGAAGGAGCAAAGUGCCAGGUAGGGGCUUAGUGAGCAGGUCGGCUAGCUGGCGAGAAGUAGGCACAUGAAGCAGCUGGAGAAAACCGGAUUGCAACAAGUCUCGAACAAAAUGGCAGUCCACCUCGAUAUGUUUAGUACGUUCAUGAAAAACAUGAUUGUUAGCAAUGUGAAGAGCAGACUGACUAUCACAAUAUACAGAAAUAGGAGAAGGAACAGAUACCCCAAGGUCAACCAACAAACGAGAAAUCCACGUCAACUCAGCAGAAUUGCAACAAGUCUCGAAAAAAAUGGCAGUCCACCUCGAUAUGUUUAGUACUUUCAUGAAAAACAGGAUUGUUAGCAAUGUGAACAGCAGACUGACUAUCACAAUAUACAGAAAUAUGAGAAGGAACAAAUACCCCAAGGUCAACCAACAAACGAGAAAUACAAGUCAACUCAGCAGCAACCUUGCUAAGGGCCCGAUACUCUGCCUCAGCAGAGGACCGAGAGACAACAAACUGUUUCUUAGAUUUUCAACUAACCAAACAACCACCCAAAAGGACGCAAAAGCCAGUAACAGAACGCCUAGUAUCAGGGCAAGCAGCCCAGUCACUAUCAGAAUACCCAACAACAAAAAAUUCAGCAUGAGCAGAAUAAAACAAACCCAAUGAGGGAGUCCCCUUAAGAUAUCGCAGCACAUGCAGGGCAGCAGUCAUAUGGGGAAGCCUGGGGCAUUUGAGGAAUUGACUCAGAUGCUGGACUGCAAAACAAAUGUCAGGCCUAGUAUGAGUCAGGAAGAGCAUCUUGCCAACUAGACUCCUGUACUGGUCAGGAUAGGGCAAGAGGGCACCAGAAUCAGCAUGAAGCGUGACAUUGAUGUCCAAAGGAGACACAACAGAAAAGACAUUGAUACAAUCAAAUUGAUGCAGCAAAUCAGAAAUAUACUUCUGCUGAUUAAGGUGCAUCCCACCAGGGACAACUGACAUCUCAAGGCCCAAAAAAUAGUGCAAAGACCCCAAGUCUUUGAUUUUAAACUGAUCAUCCAGGAACAAUUGAGAGCAGUAGGUUCAUCACUGUCAUCCCCAGUAAGAAUUAUGUCAUCCACAUAAACUGCUACCACUACAAGGGAGCCAGGCUUACCCUUGAUGAAUAAGGAGUAGUCAUUCAAAGAGUGGUGAUAUCCUCUGGAAUAAAGGGCAGAAGACAAUUGGCAUACCACUGUCUGGAUGCUUGUCUCAGCCCAUACAGGGAUUUCUUGAGGUUGCAGACCGGAGGAGGAGAAGAAGAAGAAACAGAACCAGAAGGAAAAGCAGAGACACUCAAACCUGGAGGAAGUUUCAUGUAAACAUCCUCAUCCAGAUCACCAUGAAGAAAGGCAUUAUUGACAUCAAGCUGAAAAAGUGGCCAAGGAUUCUUGACAGCCACAGCAAUAAGGCAUUUGACAGAAGUCAUUUUAAUCACUGGGGAAAAAGUCUCUGUAAAAUCAACCCCCUCAACCUGUGUAUCACCCCUAAUAACCAGCCUAGCAUUAUACCUUUCAACAGAGCCAUCUGCCUUGUAUUUUAUUUUAUAAACCCAUUUACAACCAAUGGGUUUCUUGCCAGGAGGAAGAGGUACAACAUCCCAAGUAUGGUUAGUGUCCAAAGCUUCAAACUCCUAUCUCAUGGCUGCUUGCCAUGCUGGAACAGAUGCAGCCUGAGAGUAAUAUAGAGGCUCAGAUUCUAAAGAGGAUGAAGAUGAGCCAGAGAAGGCAGGAAGUUGACAGACAUAAUCCUUAAGAUAGGAAGGAGGAUUAUGUUGUCUUUGAGACUUUCUGGGAGAAGGAACACAGGGAGAGGGAACUAAAACAGAAGGGGAACCAGAAUCUUUGAGACUUUCUGGGAGCAUGAACAGAGGGAGAGGGAACUAAAACAGAAGGGGAACCAGCAGGACUGAAAGGAGUAGGAAAAGGCAUCUGCACAUAUGUGGUAGAAGAGGGAGGAGAGAGAGGAAUGGGAGAAUCAGAGGCAUCAUCAUGUUCUCCAGAUGGAAUAAAGGGAAAAGAGGAAGCAGGAGGAGAAGCAGAAGAAGACACAGAUUUAAAAGGAAAAACUGAUUCAUGAAAGAGAACAUCCCUGGAGACCAAAUACUUCUUAGAUGCAAGAUCAUACAGCCUAUAACCCUUCCUGCCAAAAGGAUAACCCAGAAAAACACAAGGAAUGACUCUUGGCUUUAACUUGUCCCUUUGAGGGAUGUGAACAGUGGCAUAGGCAAUACACAAGGAAUGGCUCUUGGCUUUAGCUUGUCCCUUUGAGGGAUGGAGACAGUGGCAUAGGCAAGGCAACCAAAAGUCCUCAAGUGAGUAUAGGAUGGAACUGUCCCAUACAAAAGUUCAUGAGGAGACUUAUUAAAAGUAAUCUGGUGGGUAUUCUGUUAAGUAGAUAUGUAGCAGUCAACAAACAAUCCCCCCAGAAAGAUACUGGCAAGCCAGAUUGAAAGAGCAAAGCCCUACAGGUUUCAAGGAGAGUCCUAUGUUUUCUCUCAACAACUCCAUUUUGUUGAGGAGCGUGAGGACAGGAGGUUUGGUGUAUGAUCCCCUGGCUACUAAAAAAAGAAAUACCCUUAUUGCUAGAGCCCAAUUCUAAGGCAUUGUCACUUCUAACAGUCUGAACCAUAGCAUUAAAUUGGGUUUUAACCAGAGAAAGAAAUGACUUAAGCAUAGAAAAAGCAGUGCUUUUGGAUCCCAUUAAGUGUGUCCAUGUUGCCCUAGAAAAAUCAUCAACAAUUCUCAAGACAUGAANNNNNNNNNNNNNNNNNNNNNNNNNNNNNNNNNNNNNNNNNNNNNNNNNNNNNNNNNNNNNNNNNNNNNNNNNNNNNNNNNNNNNNNNNNNNNNNNNNNNNNNNNNNNNNNNNNNNNNNNNNNNNNNNNNNNNNNNNNNNNNNNNNNNNNNNNNNNNNNNNNNNNNNNNNNNNNNNNNNNNNNNNNNNNNNNNNNNNNNNNNNNNNNNNNNNNNNNNNNNNNNNNNNNNNNNNNNNNNNNNNNNNNNNNNNNNNNNNNNNNNNNNNNNNNNNNNNNNNNNNNNNNNNNNNNNNNNNNNNNAAAGAAGGACCUAGCAGUACAUUGUGAAGAAUGAUGGAAGGAGUCAAGGCAAAGGAGCCUGUGCAAGUCACAUUCACUUUAUAGCCAUUUGGAAGAGUGACAAGAUAUGGUAGAGUUAAAGGUAUAAUGUUGAAAAGUAGUUGUUUAUCAUGUGUCAUGUGAUUAGAGGCACCUGAAUCUAUAAUCCAGGUGACAGAAUUAAUGUGAGUAAGCAAGCAAAGUUUGGAAUCAGACCUAGCAGUACAUUGUGAAGAAUGAUGGAAGGAGUCAAGGCAAAGGAGCCUGUGCAAGUCACAUUCACUUUAUAGCCAUUUGGAAGAGUGACAAGAUAUGGUAGAGUUAAAGGUAUAAUGUUGAAAAGUAGUUGUUUAUCAUGUGUCAUGUGAUUAGAGGCACCUGAAUCUAUAAUUCAGGUGACAGAAUUAUUGUGAGUAAGCAAGCAAAGUUUGGAAUCAGAAAUAGGGUUCUCAGUUAACAUAGUACCAGCAAUGUUUGCAGCAUAUAUUGAGCAGUGGAUUCCUCCAACUUGGUCUGGUGUAACAAGUUUAUCAACUGGUCAUAAUCAUGUCUGCUCAACCCUGGUAUCACAGAGCUUUGGCCAUCUAGUCUUNNNNNNNNNNNNNNNNNNNNNNNNNNNNNNNNNNNNNNNNNNNNNNNNNNNNNNNNNNNNNNNNNNNNNNNNNNNNNNNNNNNNAAAAGCCGUUCACUAGUUUCUUUUCCCUUGAGGAACAGACAACAGUCCAUCAGAAAUAGGAGAAUUCAGACCAGUACUCAGGUGAGCAGCAGCAGGUCUCCUUCCCUUGUUAAAAGUGGUACUUUGUGGAUACCCCAUGGAUCUUGAAGCACUUAUCAAUUAAGUGUCCAGAUUUUCUACAGUAUCUACAAAAUAAAGGUCCCCUGGCUUGGUCAAAAUUGACUCUCUGUUUGACUCUCUGUCUAAAAGAAGGAGGAGGAACAGACACUAUGGCCUUGUUAAAUCCAACAGGCCGCAUGUUUGUAUGUACAUUGAAAGAGACAGAGGCUGGAUCAAAGUGAGAGGAAGACUGAACUUGUCNNNNNNNNNNNNNNNNNNNNNNNNNNNNNNNNNNNNNNNNNNNNNNNNNNNNNNNNNNNNNNNNNNNNNNNNNNNNNNNNNNNNNNNNNNNNNNNNNNNNNNNNNNNNNNNNNNNNNNNNNNNNNNNNNNNNNNNNNNNNNNNNNNNNNNNNNNNNNNNNNNNNNNNNNNNNNNNNNNNNNNNNNNNNNNNNNNNNNNNNNNNNNNNNNNNNNNNNNNNNNNNNNNNNNNNNNNNNNNNNNNNNNNNNNNNNNNNNNNNNNNNNNNNNNNNNNNNNNNNNNNNNNNNNNNNNNNNNNNNNNNNNNNNNNNNNNNNNNNNNNNNNNNNNNNNNNNNNNNNNNNNNNNNNNNNNNNNNNNNNNNNNNNNNNNNNNNNNNNNNNNNNNNNNNNNNNNNNNNNNNNNNNNNNNNNNNNNNNAUUUUGUUUUUGGCUGAUAAGGCAACAAUCAUUUUACGUCUCCAGCCCCCAUAACCACUACCCGAGAAGGGAGUGGGAACGAGAGAUACCCCAGGUACAUCAGAAGAAUAUAAAAAAAGGGGACUGGAAGAGUCUACAGAAGGGGAGGCACCAGUACUUGUGUUAGAAGCCACAGUCAAUGAACCGGCUUAAAAGAACAACUUUUCAACAAACAGAAUACAACCAAAACAGGUAUUCACUCACAACAACCAACAAACAGAAUAUAGCCAAGUCAGGUAUUCACAGACAACACCAGAUGCUCACAAGUACAGAGUCAAAUAAACACAUACAAUACCGAAAAGAAGGACAGAGUUACCCUCCUUCUUCGCGACCGGAGAAGAUCGGCCUCCAAACAACAGAGAAACCCUAGGUACAAAACCCUAGGUGUAACCUUUGAAAUCCUUACUGAAAAUGUGGUCAGGAACGUCGGAGAGGCACCCAAAAUGUCCAAUAAGUAAGAAUCGAGCCACCGGAAAGCAGUAGAACCCUAGGUUAAACCACCAAAAACCCUAGAAGCCUAUAGGUCACCAAAAAAUCAACCAAAAAUCAUCAUAAAAUCUUCCAGAACGUUCAGGAGAAGAAAAUACACUCCGAUAUCACGACGAAAGACUCAGAAAGGUCUCCGAUGAGUCGGAAUCUUCAUCGACCACGAGGUCUCAGAAAUCACCCCCAAAACCUCGAAACAAACUUUAUCCAAGACAACGAAGCGCAUAGAAACAUAGUCGGAUCGUCGUCGAGGCUCUGAUACCAUGUAAACAUUCAUAUUAGACCNNNNNNNNNNNNNNNNNNNNNNNNNNNNNNNNNNNNNNNNNNNNNNNNNNNNNNNNNNNNNNNNNNNNNNNNNNNNNNNNNNNNNNNNNNNNNNNNNNNNNNNNNNNNNNNNNNNNNNNNNNNNNNNNNNNNNNCUAAUACCAUGUUAACAUUCAUAUUAGACCGAGAAAUCAUAGAAAAUCUAGAGAGAGAAAGUAGAGAGAAGGCAGAGCUUUUAGGAACUCUCUGGAACCUGAGAGAAUUUUAAAUUUUAUUCACAGAAAAGAGAAAAAUGAAGUCCAGAGGUCCCAAAAUAUCUGGGGACCCCUAUAUAUACAAAUACACAUGGAUCGGGUCAAAGGACCCAAAUAAUAAAAUGAAAUGGGGCUCAGACACGAAGUGGGCUCGGUAUAUACAAAUGGCCCAACAACACAUAAUCAUCACAGCCCAUGCUAUUGUAUACCAGAAAUAUAAUAAAUAUACAUUGUGUAUACACUCCAUAUAAUCAUGUAAUUUCCUUCAUGUCAACAAUUAGGCCCUAAAUAAACCAUAUUUUUGUAUAGCUUUUAUAGUAAAAAGUGAUAACAAAUGCUCUGAUUAACGUAAAGAGAGACUCCCCCUUCUCUCUAAAAUUUCCUCAGUCUCUACAUCUUCCUUCUCCAUUGGAAAAGAACAUAAAUGGACACUAAAAUCAAUACUGCUUCUGAUCCCCACAUCCCUCCCAAACUGCCUGAUUUAUCUCCUUCAAACUUGGAAAAUCCAAAGGUCCCCCCACUCCCAAAUUUCAAGGAAAAACUCAUCGGAGAUAGAAUUUCUUUCAUCUCCUCUCUAAACCAUUUAGAUUCACACUCCUCCCCCAUGGAAGUCCAAGAAAAUGAUACAGCUCCCACCCCUGAACAACUAUUAGGGGACCAAUCCCUCUCGAUCCCUAUUACUAAGGAAGAGAAGGAGUGUAUCUACCUACCAUGGAAACAUUCCUUGAUUAUCAAACUUCGUAGGAAAAGAAUUCUCCAUCAAACCCUAAAACGCAAAAUCCAGAACCUAUGGAAGCUAAAGGAAAGCUUUCCUCUAAUUGAUUUUAGGGGAUGAUUACUACAUAGUUAAGUUGCAAACUGAGGAUAGUAUGUCUCACAUACUUCAGGAUGGUCCGUGGUUUGUCUAUGGAAGCUACUUAUCAACUCAACAAUGGAAGCCAAACUUCGUUGAAAAGGACGUUAAACAAAGUCACACAGCAGUAUGGGUGAGACUUCCUCAGUUGCCCACUGAGUUUUAUGACAACCAAAUUCUACAACGGGUGGGGAAAUUCAUUGGGAAGCUAUUAAAUCUUGAUGCCUGCAUAUCAUCUUCCUUAAGAGGAAGAUAAGUGAGACUAUGCGUGGAGGUCCCAAUGAAUGAACCAGUCAAAAAAUAUAUUUUCAUCGACAAUCACAAACAAGAAAUUCAAUAUGAAGCAAACAACUACCUUUGCAAAAAGUGUGGUCGUCUAGGACACAAAGAACAGACUUGUGUAAAAAUACAUCCAACUUCGACAAACCCAAGCCACAUUCAACAAAAAGAAGAAAAUUUCCCAUCAAAGAUCACUAACAACAAUAGAUGGUAGACGGUUCCCCAAACGGAAUAUGCCACAACAAACAAAAGGAAAAUAGGUAACUUCAAGCAACAACCAUAUCCCAGGUAAUCAAAAUAGAUCUUUUCCCCAGUUUCAGGUAAGUCUCCUACCUCAAAAAGUGUUAAAUAUAUUCCAAAAACUUAUACUACUUCCACUAAUCUACUAAAUCAUCAAUCACCCCCUGCCCAAGUCACCCCUUUAAAUAUUAAUCCCACUGAAUAUUACAAUACCCCACACAAAUACGAGAACAAGCUGAUCUGAGUAGUUCCAACCCUAUGGAUACUAUUAACCAAAUAUCUCAUACUACAUAAAACCGGGUUCACAGUCCUAAUACCACAAAACCAACUACACAAUCACUACACGACAAAAUAGCUUUUAAUAGUAAUAAUCAUUUAACAUACACUACCCACCAAUCAGACGAUACGCAUAUAGACUCACUAGAUGUUAAUGAAAACUCCCAUACUCCUAAUACCCAAUCACCCCCAUUCAACCCCUUUUCCCUCGCAUGCGGAUGGGAAAGUGCCCAAUCACUCUCAUGAAUCAAUCAAAAUGGCAAACAAUAAAAAACACAUGCCAAUCAAAUCCCAUGCAAAAUCCCUUAUAUCAACAGGCAUGCUAACCCCUCCAAUAUGCAUGUAAAUAGAUACCAUCAUUUUUCAAAAACCUACUAUUGAACCCUUAUAUCAACAUACUACUCACUCUUAAAAUGCCAAGAGACCCUCAAACAAGUCGGAGGAGAUUUCGUCUUAUACAAAUUCUGAGAAACCUUCGAGCUCUAUCAAUGGAAAAUCUCCCUCCUUUCCUCGGCAAAUGCAACCGAUCCUAGUGAAUUAUGCACAACCCCCUCUACCACAGAACCACCACCCUACCAGUUGAAUAGAACUAGGUCUGAUGGGAAGGGGUAUCUCACUACAAAUAACAAUCAAUGGCCAAGAGAGUAUCAUUCUAAUAAACAACCCUCAAUUCCUAGCCCAAGUAAUUUCGGAGGGCCUUCACUUGUCGAUGAACAUCUACCUAAACCAUGUCUGGGUGAACAAUAUCAUGUAGCCAUUGGCUCUAGGGAUGAACAACAACCUUGUUCAAGCCAUGAGGGCACAGUGGAACCUCCCACCACAGUUUGCCCAAAAUCCAUACCUUCCUCAACACCUUGGUCUGGACCUUUCCUUCUUCUCUCCCCAGGAAGUCAUGGCUCUAAAUCCUAUUAUAGUGCAAUGGGAAAUGGCUCCCAAUCACAUGCAGCAGGAGGAACCUCAGAUUCUAGUCCAAAUGGAGCAUCAAGUUCAGGAUCCCCCCAAUACCCCAAAACCUAGGAGAUCCAAUAGGGGAAGAGAUGGAAUAGGAAAUGGAUCUUAUAGGGGAGCACACAACAGAAACUUCAAACCUAGACGAAGUCAAGCUCUAUCUAUUCGAGGAGAGGUGAGAGAAGAGGCUUAUUCUAGCUUGUCCACCUUCACUAUUUAAGUGCACAAUGGACAUGAGGCCACCUCAAGAUCCAACAGUAGGGAAGAUAGCCAUGAUUCUUGUUCCCUCUCUAAGGAGGAAUCCAAUAUUCCCACAGUCAACACAGGUCAAUGGCCUUCCACACCACAACAACCCACCCAUGAAUUAUGCUAAAAACAUAAUUAUUUGGAAUAUUCGAGGGGGAAACAAUGCUGACUUUAGGAGAAACUUUCACGAUCUAAUGGUCACUCACCAACCCUAUAUGGUAUCUCUCUUAGAAACAAGAAUGAAUAGCCAUGGUAGUUUGAUGAACGAAUUUGGUUUUUCGGAUAUGAUAGAAGUUCCGGCUGAGGGUCAAUUAGGAGGGAUGGCUGUAAUGUGGAAUACCAACCUCAUGCAUGUUAACAACUUGUCCAUCGUAACAAUGAGAUCCAUGCUUUACUUGAGGUAAUCCCUACUCACAAACCAUGGCUUUUUUUCCACUAUAUAUGCUAGCACUAAGGUAGCUAAGAGAAACAUAAUGUGGGAUAAUAUCACUAAUAUUUUUUAUCAUUAUAAAGGAGCAUGGCUUUUAGGGGAUGACCUAAACGAUAUUCUUGUACAGGAUGACAAGCUAGGCGAAAUCCCAUCAAUAGAAGGAGGGCCUUAAAAAUAUGGAAUAAAAUCAACUACUGUAACCUAAUGGAUCUAGGGCUGUUGUAAAUUACUUGGUCGAACCAUAACAAGUGUAUAAAUUCUUGCAUUAUGGAAAGACAUUACAAGAUUCUUACAAAUGAUGAUUAGAUAUAUUUUCCCUAAAGCUAGUGUUAUCCAUCUUCCAAAAACCCACUCUGACCACACCCCUAUAUUAAUAGAAAUAGUCCCUAAAUUAUCAAGCCCUCUUCCUAAACUAUUUAGAUUGGAAACUUACUGGUGCAGACACCCUAAUUUUGAGGAGUUAGUCAAUUCCUGUUGGGAGGGAAAUAAUUAUAUCCAAGCCACAAAUUUGUUUAGACAACAAGUGACGGAUUGGAAAUCCACCACCUUUGGAGAUUACAUAAAUAAAAAACAAAAAUUGUGGCUAGACUAUCGGGCAUCCAAAGAUCUCCAAAUUAUGGCUUGAAUUCUUUCCUUACUAACGUAGAAACCUCUCUAAAUAUUAAGUAUAAUGAUCUUCUCAAAAUAGAAGAAGACUAUUGGAAAUUACAUUCCAGAAUCAACUGGCUAAAUGAUGGCGACUCAAACUCUAAAUUUUUUCACAUUAGUGCCACAAACAAUAGAAGAAUUAAUAAAAUAUUCUACUUCAAAAAUAGUGAGGGCAACUAGAUUGACGACCCUCGUGGCAUAUUGGAUCAUGUUUUCUUGUUCUAUAAAACUACUUUCACUACAAAUCAUAUAAUGUCAAUAGGUCCCAAUUUUACUAAUCAUCACUCCAAUUCCUUUAACUACACCUUAAGCUCUUUAGACUUCCCUAUAUCCCAAUCAAAAUUAAAAAGAGUUGUUUUUUACUUCAAUCCUUACAAAUCAUCUGGCCUGGAUGGGUUACACCCCUUCUUUUUUCAAAAAUACUGGCAUAUUUUAAACACCUCAUUGACUUCCAUAUGCCAACAAGCUUUUGAAAUAUGUAAAUUCCCUCCUGGUAUAAAUGACACCUAUCUUUUCCUAAUCCCCAAAGUCUCAAAUGCUAUAUCUCUCAAAAAUUUCUGUCCUAUUGGACUUUGCAACUAUUUACAAAAUACUUUCAAAAACCAUUGCAAAUAGGCUAAAACCUUUCUUACAAGACAUCAUUAGUCCCUUCCAAGCUAUCUUCCUAAAGGGUAGACGUACUAGUGAUAAUUCCAUUAUCAUACAGGAAAUCAUAUAGAAAAUGCACAAGAAGAAAUGUGGAAAAUCUACUCUUACUUUAAAAAUUGAUAUAGAAAAAGCCUUCGAUCGUCUUGAAUGGUCUUUCAUCUAUAAAACAUUGUGUUACUUCAAAUUCCCAAGAAAAAUUACUUCUUGAUCAUGGAAUGUAUCACAACUAGCACCAUUUCAGUUCUACCAAAUGGAAGUAAAAGUAAUUUUUUUUUCACCAAGUAGGGGAAUUAGUCAAGGCGAUCCUCUAUCCCCCUAUAUAUUUAUCCUUUGUCUUGAAAUGCUUUCCAUUAACAUAAAUCACUGAGUGGACAUUAGUAAUAUCUCCCAUCAACCUUGGAAAAAAAUCUUACAAAGUUUCCCAUCUCUUCUAUGCGGACGACCUUACAUUAAUGUGUAAUGUAGACAACAAAUUUCCUAGGUCAAUUCUCCAUUGUCUUGAGUCCUUUUGUACCCUCUCAGGUCAAAAAAUAAAUUUUGGAAAAUCAAAAAUCAUUGUCUCGAGGAAAUGCCUCGUCCAUAUUAGGAAAGACCUAUCAAAACCGUUUAAUAUUUCUCUAAGCAACCACUUUGGAAAAUAUCUUGGAUUCCCCAUUACAAACUCCAAACCAAAACCAUCUAACUACCAAUAUAUUAUAGUCAAAAUGUCGUCUAAGCUGGCCUCUUGGAAAUCAAAGUUCCUCAAUGUAGUUGGUAGUAGCAUUUUAGCUAAUUCCUGCCUAAAUAGCAUUCCCAAUCAUGUUAUGCAGUUUAAUUAUUUACCUGGUAAGAUUUUAAAAACUAUUGAUAAAAUCCAAAAGAGAUUCAUUUAGGGCUCUUCAACUGCCUCAAAUAAGCUCCAUAUAUUAGCUUGGGAUACUAUUACCAAAACCAAAAAAAUGGUGGUAUUGGUAUACAUGCAGCAAAAGAAAAAAACCCGGUAUCUCUAGCCAGUCUUUCAUGGAGAGCUAUCCACAAACACCGUUUGCUCUCCUGGUCUCAAACAGAUAAUCCCUUUACGGUCUCAAGAGAAACCAAAAAUACACCAGUUUCAUUUGGAAUAGCUUAAUUAGAGGUUGGGAAAUCUGUAGCAAAGGGCUAAAAUGAACACCUCACAAAAAUUCCUCAAUGAACAUUUGGCAUUUAAACUGGAUUCCAAACUCUUCUACACUUCGGAAAACUUUAUGAGGCCCCAUAUCCACGGUUGAUGAGCAUCUCAGUAUAAGGGACCUUAGGCUUAAUAACGGAUGGGAUCUCUCUAAAUUGACCUCCUAACAUGAAAAAUAACAUUCUCUCUUUUAAGCCUUUAAAUAAUAACAUAGAUACCUUCCAUUGGGCUUUAACCCCAAACGGUUCUUUCUCUACAAAAACUUGUUACAAUAUUAUAACUCCCAAUCUGGACAUCUCUAUCGAUUUUGAAUGGAUUUGGAAAUCCAAAUGCCCAAAUAAAAUAAAAUUCCUGCUAUGGAAAUGCCUUUAUAGUAGAUUACCCACUCACCAUUACCUUCAUUAUAUCGGUAUUAAUAUCGAUCCUAUCUGCCCAGUUUGCAAAAAUGAAAUUGAGACUGUUGAGCAUAUCUUCUUAUUUUGCAAAGUAGUAAAAUAUUUCUGGAUGUCGCUAGGCUUUAAGUUCACUAGGGGAAACAAGCAUAAUGACUAGUUGUUAAGGAUAAAAAAUCAUACAACUCAACACCAACAUACCCCCAUAUCGUGGGAAUUCCUCUUCCCUUUUAUCAUUUGGUGCAUUUGGUAAAAUAGAAAUAAUAACAAUCACAACAACCUAUCCCUCAACUACAAAAACUCCAAUGCUAUCUCCUUAGCUCAAGAAUACUUCUACUACACGUACAGUGAACCUAUCUCCCCAACACCACCUACCAUUAAAGUUUCUUGGCAUAACCCCCCCCCCCCCCCNNNNNNNNNNNNNNNNNNNNNNNNNNNNNNNNNNNNNNNNNNNNNNNNNNNNNNNNNNNNNNNNNNNNNNNNNNNNNNNNNNNNNNNNNNNNNNNNNNNNNNNNNNNNNNNNNNNNNNNNNNNNNNNNNNNNNNNNNNNNNNNNNNNNNNNNNNNNNNNNNNNNNNNNNNNNNNNNNNNNNNNNNNNNNNNNNNNNNNNNNNNNNNNNNNNNNAAAUUUUUUUGGCAAACCCCCCCCCCCCCCUGAAUUUCAUUAAGCUCAACAUAGAUGGUGCUUUCUAAGAAAGCUUAAACUUAGGAGGUAUGGGAGAAUCUUCAGAAGAGAUAAUGCUGAUUGGCUAUUGGGUUUUUAGCACUCAAAACCUUCAUCCUCUCCAUGCAAUGGGAAUUAGAGGCAUUAAGAUUUGGCCUCACAUUUGCCCUCAACUAUGGCUUCACUCCCCUAAUUGUGGAAACGGAUGAAACGGAACUAAUCAAGCUAUAUUAUUCAAAUGCAACAACUUACUCCAAUACUUUGGCUCAUUGCAGGUGGUUAAUGCACCAGCUGAAGCACCCGAAGAUCAUCCAUAAUUUCAAGGAAGGAAACAAGCUGUUCCAUAAAAUGGCCAAGGAUGGCUUGAAGCAUGCAAGGAAAAACUAUAUUUUUGUAAAUAUAUUGCCUAUAUUAUUAAAUAACCUAGCAAUGGAUAAAUGUGGUCAUGUAUUUUUUAUUAAAAAAAACUUAAUGUUAGUGCUUUCUUUAGCUUAGCCAAUAUAGGGAAUUAAAAUGUCCUUGAAGCUAGUCCCAUGUCUAGGGUUUUAACAAACGCUACUAUGUAAUGUCUCUUUAAUAAAUUAUCUUUUCCUAUAAAAAAAUUCUCUGAUUAAUGCUUUUCAUGCUUUACAUGCUAUAUUAAAUACAGAAGUUCAUGGAAUACUUUUGAAUCAAUUAUGGAGAAAAAUAGGCCAAUCAUACAAUAUCCACAAAGUGUGCAAAGCAAAGGGACAAAAUAGAACCGAAGCUCGCCUGUCGCUGUUCAGGCGUAACCGCGGUAAGACCGCAGGUGAACAUGUGAUGAACUGCCCCGUUGUCACAUGAUUUACCGUCCCGUUUCCCCCGUUUUAUUCUUCUAUAUAUUUCAUUAUAUGUGUUAGUAGAAUUUGAAGUGAUUCGGACAGAGUUCGGUUGGAAUUGAGACAGUUAGUCUCUUUAAGAGAAGACUAAUUUGGAAAAGUCAACCGGAUAUCGACUUAUGAGUUAUAGGGCUCGAAAUGUGUUUUCAAAGAUUCAACUAGUUUCGGGUGGUGCUUUAUGACUUGGAGCGAAAUCGGAAUCGAAAUUGGAGGUCCAGUGUAGAAUUAAGCUUCAAUUGGCUAAGUUUGAAGUUUGGCGAAUUUCGAGUUAUAGGUAAGAUUUUGAUCCGAGGGUCAGAAUGGGAUUCUGAGAGUUGGAGUAGCUUCAUUCGGUGAUUUUGGAUAUGUCCGCAAAUUUUUAGGUCAAUCGAAUGUCUUUUUGGUUGGAUUUUUUAUCGAAUAUGAGUUUCAGAAGUUUUAGUUUAACUUAGGCUUGAAUCCGUCGUGGAUUGAUGAUUUUUGUGUUGUUGGGCAUGUUUUUAUGAUUAGAACUAGUUCGUAUGAUAUUUUGGGGUAUGUUGGUGCUUUUGGUUGAGGUCCCGAGGACCUCGGGAUGGUUUCGAGUGGUUAUCGGAGAGUGUUUGAAUGUUGGAAGAUUGCAGUAGUUCAGCAGAAAUGUUGCAGAAGGUUUCUUCUAUGCGAUUGCAUAGGUGGCAUUGCGUUCGUAUAAGAGACUGGGAGAGGGGUCUGUUUUUGUGCUAUGUGUUCGCACUAGGUGGUAUGCAAUCGCAUUGAUCUGGGAGAUUGAGCUGUGCAUUCGCACAAGAGGGUAUGCAUUCGUAUAGGGUUGUUGGGCAUGGGGUCCCUGGUAGUGGUGUCUUCUAUGCGAUCGUAUAGUGUUAUUUGGGGAAGAAGGAAGUUUGUGCUAUGUGAUCGCAACGAAUGUGAUGCGAUCGCAUAGGGUAAUAACUGGGCAGACAUACCUGUUUUAAUGACGUUUCAUCCGCGACUUGGGUUCAUUUUUCCACCAUUUUUGCACCACCUUGAGAGCUUGUUUGGUAGAUUUUGAAUAGGAUUUCGAUGGGAAGUGAUUGGAGGUAAGUAUCGUGGCCUAGAUACGUCAUUUAAUGGAAGAAUCAUCCACUAAUUCUCUAAAUUUGGGCAUAAAAUUGAAAAAACUAGGUCUUGGUUUUUGAAGUGUAAAUUGGGGAUUUGAUGGCCCAUGAACUCCGAUUUUGAUGAAAUUUGUAUGUACGGACUUGUGGCGAGACGGUGAUUCCGAUAAUGUGAAUUUAGUAAUUUUUUGAGAAGUGAUCCCGGGGCUCGGGUUUUGCCAACUUUGUGUUUUGGGUGUUUUUUGAGUUCUUUCUAUUGGUUAUGUCUCAUUAGCCUAUUAUAACAUUUCCUUGUGGUUUUGGUCAGAUUAUGCACCCGAGGAGGUUGAUUUGGGAGGAAAGCGCAAGGCGAGCUAGGAUUUUGGCCGGUUUGAGGUGAGUAAUGGUUUUGAAUGAUAUGCUGAGGUUUUGAAACCCCGUAUUUGCACUAUGUGGUGCUAUGUUGAGAUAAAACACGCGUCAUAUGAUGAGCGUGGUGAAUACUUCUGCUGGGGACUCGGACUUGGUCCAUCCCGAUUGAUGACUUACUACAUUUUUUAAUUGAGACUGAGCUUGUACCCGUAUAUAUUUGGGCUAUUGCCAUGUUUGAGGCAUUGUGCCGAUCUGUAGAAUGCUUAGGGAGCAUGUUGAGCUGAUUGACCUCACUUUACCUAUUGAACACAUACCAUCUGUCCUGACUUGACUGUAAAUCAUGAAAUAGGCUAGACGUAGUAACUUGCACCCUAAAUGAGAAAUACCUAGGGUUGAAUACACGGUCUUAGCUGAGUGGGCCCGAGAGGUAGUCUAUAUUGACUGGGAGGGGUCAAGGACCCCGUAGUGAGGGUAUUUGAUACAUAUACCGGAUCGGGCUGGACGAUGCAGCAUUUAUUAUAUUAUAUUGGAUUGGGCUUCACGCUGCAGCAUUAUAUAUAUUAUAUUGGAUCUGGCUGCACGACGCAGCAUUAUCUAUAUAUANNNNNNNNNNNNNNNNNNNNNNNNNNNNNNNNNNNNNNNNNNNNNNNNNNNNNNNNNNNNNNNNNNNNNNNNNNNNNNNNNNNNNNNNNNNNNNNNNNNNNNNNNNNNNNNNNNNNNNNNNNNNNNNNNNNNNNNNNNNNNNNNNNNNNNNNNNNNNNNNNNNNNNNNNNNNNNNNNNNNNNNNNNNNNNNNNNNNNNNNNNNNNNNNNNNNNNNNNNNNNNNNNNNNNNNNNNNNNNNNNNNNNNNNNNNNNNNNNNNNNNNNNNNNNNNNNNNNNNNNNNNNNNNNNNNNNNNNNNNNNNNNNNNNNNNNNNNNNNNNNNNNNNNNNNNNNNNNNNNNNNNNNNNNNNNNNNNNNNNNNNNNNNNNNNNNNNNNNNNNNNNNNNNNNNNNNNNNNNNNNNNNNNNNNNNNCUGCACGCCGCAGUGAUAUAUUAUAUGGAUCGGACUGCACGCCGCAGUAUUAUAGCGCUUGGGCUGAAGGAGCCCCUCCGGAGUCUGCACACACCCCCUGUGAGCGCAGUACUAUAUAAUUGGAUCGGGCUGCACGACGCAGUAUUAUAUAUAUUAUAUUGGAUCGGGCUGCACGCCGCAAUAUUAUAUAUAUAUUAUAUUGGAUCGGGUUGCGCACCGUAAUAUUUUAUGUAUUAUAUUGGAUGGGGAUGCGCACCACAGCAUUACACAUAUGGUAUUGGAGCGGGCUACGUGCCGCAGCAGUGUUAGUGACUAGUCGGACGAAAAGAGAAGUAUUUAUUAGAUUCUCUCCCCUGUUUAGCAUUAUUCAAUGUCGUUACUGUUGAUAUUAGAACUGUAUAGUGUUCUUACCGGAUUUCUUACAAUCAGUUGUUAUUUAUUGCUAUUAUUCACUGAGUUGGAAGUACUCACUCUACUCCAUGCACCUUGUGUGUAGAUACAGAGAUCGUGGAGGCUUAGCUGCAACUAUCUGACGAUCCUCAGUUCAGUACCGGAGUUGUCAAGGUAGGUGCUGGCAUACGCAGGACCUGAUCUCCUCUAUCUAUCUUUUGUUUCCGUAUCUAAACUUUUCCUUUGUAUAUGAUACUGUUCUGUUGUAUCUAGAGGCUCUGACUUGUGACACCGCAUCCUUUGGUCUGUUAUUACUUGAUUAUAUUUUUCGUAGUAUUUUCUAUUAUUAUCUAAUUGAAAUUUUAUGUUAAAUUUGGUAUCUAGUUAAUGAUUUUGCUGGGAAAGGUUUAAAGGGUCGGGCUUGCCUAACAAGGUGUUUGGCGUCAUCAUGACCGAGUUUUGGGUCGUGACAGAAUACUUUUGCAGAUUCUGAAGGAACUCUGGCCGCGGUCCCAGCGUAACCGCGGUAGGAUGGGGGCAGUAUGCGUAAACUCCAGGGACCAAAGUGCAAAAUACGGAAUUUUAAGCCCUAAACCAUGUAUUAAACAAGGAAAUUUGCCCAAGAGGGGCAGACUUACUUUGAGAUUACGUUUGCAAGAAAAACAACUGUGAGAUAUCACCCAAAAUAUAAUAGUUCUUUAUCUCUUAUAUUUUUCUUGCAAUUUUCCAUUAUGAAUAUUUUUGCAGUUUAUUCCUAUGUUGUUAUGAGUAGCUAAAUACUUUAAUCUAAGGUUUUGAUGGAACCUAUUGAAUGAUAAUUUCUUGAUUAUGUUAAUAUAGUUUGCUAGUUUAACCUCUAUUUGUUUAACUGCAUAUUUGUUGUAGUUAAUUGAUAUAAUCCUCAAUUAGUUGUUCCUAUUUAGUGUGUAUAACUCGGGAAAGAGUGUAUAUUUAGGUAAUUAUUGAACAACACCACUCCCAAAGUAUAAGAGGGAUCUAUAACUGCGGGUUUAAAGGCAGGAUUAGGGAUAACAAAGUCUUGGGUACAAUCUAAAGUGAGCUGUAAUAAACAAUGCCAGCUAGCGUAUCUCGGGAGAGUACGUCUAGUAAAUUAUAGCGAUUACUUGAGAGAGAUUUAUAGUAAAAGAGAGUGCGCAUGAUUGAUAGAGAUGUUGUGGUGAAUCUAUCUGAAACAUAGCAAAAAGGGAUUCCAUUAAUAGGGAAAAUCACUACCUAAGAACCUUCUCAUUAUUGUUUACAACUCAAGCAUAUUUAGUUUACAGCUACUUAUUUACUUUCAGUCUUAGUUAUUAGAAAUAUGUUUGGGGAAGUUGAUUCUAAGAAUUUAGUAAGUCCAACAAAAGUAAUUGGUAGGUUAAUUCUCUGUGGAUUCAACUCUGGGCGUAAAUACUCAGAUUAUAUUUGCAACGUCUGCGUGUCCUUUUGUAGUUAGGCGUGAUCAGAUACCCUCGAGCUAGUUAUGCAAGAACAGUUAAAAUGCAACAAGCUGAUAAAUAAGAGAAUGUAAAUUAAAGAGAGAAUAUUGUAUUGCUUUGACCUAUGUGUAUGUCAGGUGUGUACAAGAUAAUUAGGGUCCCCUUUAUACAGAAGAGGAAUCCUAUUUAUGGUAUAUUUCUAACUACGGAAGUAAAUCCCAUGAGUAACUAGAUAACCGCCAUUGAUUAGAUUUGUUCGGAGAUUUACGUCAUGAUCUUCGGUCAGUCACGGAUAUCUUAUUUUUCGUUAUUUACGCUUUGUUCGAAGUCCGUCAUAUUUGGUCUCUAUCGUUGUUGACCUCGAUCUCAAUAGGUACCUCGAUUCUUGGACUUGAUACCCCGUCUUCGUACUCUAGUCAGACUUAUUACGGGGCUAACCCCUCGAUGCAGUUACCUUGUUUCGAUCAAUUAGCACAAUCAGGUAGGCGCGAUUUUAAUAUAUUUUCCUAAUAGCUUGCCAGCCAUUAAGCUCCUGUUUGGCCAUAGAUUUGGGUUAUAUUUAUUAAAAAUGAAAAUAUUAUUUAUUCAUGAAAUAUGAUUUGUUUUUGAAAUUUUCAAAAACGGAUUUAGUGUGUUUUUUGGUGAAAAUUUCUCUUCCACUCACAAAACAUCAAAAAAAUUCAAAUAAAAUGCAUGUAGUAACACAACUUUAACUUCCAAAAAUAUUUUGUGCGCAAACCUUAACUUUAUAAAUCCAAUAUAAUCUUACACGUUAGAUUUGGGGAGGAUAGUGUGUACGCAGAUCUUAACCCUAUCGUGUGAAGCUAGAAAAACUAUUUCCAAUAAAUUUCCGUCUAAAAAAAGAAAAAAAAAACAAUAAACAAUAACAACAUCAAAAUACUAAGAUAACCUAAGCAAAAGAAAUAUAUUACGAUGAUUUUAAGUCAGUAAGUGCGGAUUACUGUCUUAUGUAAUUCAAGGCGAAAGAAAUAAAUACAUCAAGAUUCAACUACUCUAUUUGUAUACAAAAGCUACAAGAUGUGAGACAUUUUUCUUUAAUUCAGGGGAUUCACUCAAGAUUCUUCCUUUUUGAUUUAUUUAACAAAAUAAAGUGGCUUUAAGGGUUGGAAAAAUAAAGUAUGGCCUUAAGAACAACAACCAAAAAAAAUGGUUGAACCACUUGGUUAUAUUUUAGCCAUACAUGGUUUUCAAGUGGCAUAUAGGACUCGGGUUUCACUUAAGUUUGUUGUGACAACUAUUUUGUUGCUAUUACAGAAAAAGAUUGCUCCCUACCAAAAAGCACAAACAACAAAUAAAUUUUAAAAAGACAACUGGAACUUAGCUCUAAAUGACAUAUGUGCGGCAUUCUUUCAAAAACUUUUCAAAUGGCUGUGAUGAGUUGAAGCAAAGCCAAUCAUUGAUACUUGUAGUGGUUGGCCAUGGACUACUAAUUAAUCUAUUUUUCUUUCUUUUUUUCUUGUGAAUCUAUUUUUGUUUGCCGAGACGAGAACAAAUAUAUUAAAGGAGCAAACCGGCAAUCCAAUCUUUUUCUAUAAUUAAUAGUGGUUUUUGCUCAAGUUUGGAUGCAUUAAGCUUCAAUUAUAAGCACAGAGACGAAUUCAGAAUUUUAAAUGUAUGAAUUCGAAAUUCUAAUCAUUUUAAGUUACUGUAUUCUAAAUUAAUAAGUUAUGCAUAUUUGAUGAAUUAUUUAAGUCAAAUACAGGGCUCAAACCAAAGCUACUGGGUUCGAUCGAACCUGUUAGGUACACUCUGCUCUGCCCCUCUGCCAGUUACACCAAGGUUCCCUCCUAUUUUUAGACAAGCUAUGCGCAGUUGUUAACCUAUCAAAAUUUUGUUAUUUUUUAUCCCCAUAUGUAUUGAAUAAUAUUUAAUUUCUGGUCUUCCAAAUUUCUUUUUUUUUUUAAGUCCAUUGACCACUAAAUUACUAAACUAUAACCCGAAUGUCAAACUGAAAGUCUAAUUUAAGUUACUCUACGUGUUAUACCUACUAUUCCUUAUUAAUUACGUAAAGUGAAGUGAUAUCAUUCAUAUAUACUCCAGUAGAUAUCGUAUCAGAGAAGUGUGUUCAUAUAAUUUUAAUUAGUUUUGUACUAAACAUAUUACUAGCUAGUCCUAUCUUUAGAACGUUCGUCAGUCAGUACGAUAUUUAGAUAUUUCGAUUCGCUUCGAUAUUUUAUGUUUUAAAAUAUUAUACUAAUAACGUAGGUAUUUAAUUAAAUUCGGUAUGGUUCAAUUUUUUUCCAUUUUGCUUUUGGUUUAUUCGAUUUGGUAACUUCAGUUUAUUUAUUUUGAAUACUAACUAGUGCAUAGUGUCAUAGAUGGUAAUAUUCUAAAUUAAAGUACUCAAAAGUAUAAAAUUAAAGACGUUUGUUGAUAAAAGUUUUGUCCAAAACUAACAAAUACCAAUCCAGAGAGAGAAAAAAUUUGAUCAUUAAAAAUAUCGUGUCAUUUGCUUAGAGUUAAUUGUUAUACUUAAAAAAUAAAGAAAAGUAAAAUUUUUGAGUUUUUAUAUUUAUUUUAAAAUUAAUAAUAUAUGUAUUGUGUAAUAUAAUACAUAUUUUGAUACAAUAUCGAUAUUUCUGUCUUAAAAUAUCAAAUUCUAUACUUAGUACUAUUUCUUUAAAACUUAAAUACUAUAUCGAAUAUUAAAUAUCAAAAUUUUCAACUUCAGUAAAACAUUUGGUAUUUAUCAAAUUAUGAACAGUCCCGCGGCUGCCUCUCACCAAAUCUCGAACUAACAAUUAAGUUCUUUAUAAGGGGAAUAAUUUGACCAUUUGGGUUAGCUAAAGUAACCGAUAAUUAUAUUGAAAGCUCUAUCGACAAGAAGUUACGUGGUUGUUAUUUCUUUUUUGUAUUGUACACAAUUAUAUUUAAUUGAAUGCAAAAAAUUUAAAAAUAAUAUAAAAAAUGUUUCACAUAUACUAAAAAUGUCCUUAGAGAUUUCGUCUUAGACGUAUCAUAAUUUUUCAUGAUUAUAAAAGUAAAGAGACAGUUUAAAAUGAAGAGUUUAAAUAUUAAAAUAUCAUUAUUUAAAAAAAAUUUAUACUUCGUCCGUUUCAAAUUAUAUAAAUCUGUUUGACUGAGCACGGAGUUUAAGAAAAAAAUAAAAAAUUUUAAAAUUUAUGGACCUAAACAAGUUCAAAUGGGGCCAGAGCAUUUUUGUAGUUAUAAAAGCUUCUCGUUAAGGUAGAGUUGUAACUUUAAGCUAAAUUGUUACUAAAUUUAGAAAGGGUUCAUUCUUUUUGUAAUUGACCAAAAACAAAAUAGAUUUACAUAAACUAGAAGAGAGAGUAUAAAAUGAAGAAAACUUUAUUUUCUUCAGUCCAAAAUAAGUAAUUUUUUGGAUAUUUUCAUAUAUAUUAAGAAAUACACUUUUUAACAUUAAUUAGUAAUAGAAUUGAUCAUAUUAACCUUUACUAUCUCAUAUAAAUAUUCCUGUUAUAUACUCUAAUACUAUUUACGUUAAGAAUAAUAUUAAAAAAAUAAUUAAUUCAUUUUUAAAAUUUUAAAAAUAUUUAUUUUAAACACACAAAAAAUAAAAAAUUAUUUAUUUUGAACCGGAUAGUGUGGUAUGGUAAGCAACAAGUAGAAUGUUUAAAGCAAACAAUGAAAUGGAGAGAGAAGGACACGUCAUAUAAAAAAACAAAAGAAAAGGAUUGAGAAAUAAUAAAGAGUGCACACGUAUGUGUAAAUAAUAGGGAAGUGCACCAAAUACACAGUGGGAGACAGCUAAGCGAUGAGCGGACACACACGUUUUUUAAUUUUAGGGCCACCUUUUUGUCUUCGAAACUAGCGACUCUUAUUUAUAUGACGUCAGGUUCUGAAAUCCUAUUGGCGGCGUGCUUUGUCAUUUUCUUGCCACGUGUUUCUUUAUUUUGACGUCCAAAGCUUCAUUGGCUCUCCUUCCAACUCCAUUACAUUAGUUAUUGGAUUAAAGUGGAAAAUAAUAUUUAUGAAGUUGAAUUAAACAAAUAUAUGAAAGUUCAAUUGUCUGUGAACACAAGCUUAAGAAGUUUGAAAACAUUGAAACUUUCUAAAUAUUUAACUUGAAAUGCAUUUUUCGAUAUUAUGAGGCCAAUUUUUUUUUGACAAAUAUGAAAUAUUUUGACACACAUAUUUUAAUGAGUGCGUCUAAUAAACUCCUUCUAUUAGUGGGGCGUGUCAAAAAGAUUUGACUUUGAAGCUUCGAGGAGAAAUUAUGAUUUUCAACAAGUACCCAUUACCCAUGCUACAUUAAAAAGUAUUUAUCCCUUUCAAAUUAAUUUGUUCCAAAAAAAAUAUUUUUAAAUUUAAAAAUAAUUCAAUUUUAAAAUGUUCAUUUCACAUGUUUUAUCUUUAAUAAGAAAUUUUAGUCACACAAAUAUUAUGAUCCCACAAAUUUUUUAUCUUUCAAGUUUUUAAGAUCACAGGUUUCAAAAAAAAAAUAUUUAAUUUCGUGUCAAGUCAAACUACCUUAUUUAAAUUGAAACGUAAGGAGUAAUUCAGUAUAUAAAGCAUUUUGCAUUUAACUAAGGUUUAUAAAAGGGCUACGUCGCUAUCCAUGUGAUAUAAAUAACCUAUUCUAAUAUAAAUAUUAAUAGCUACUAUUGCGGCUCAAAAUUAUACCAGAUAUCUUAUUCAUUACUUUACUGAAGAUUCACUCAAGCUGAAUUUGGCAUGAUGACUGUAAGAUGAGGUAAACAGUUUCUGAUUCCUAAAAGUUGUACCUUUCGUGUUGUUGGAAAGUAUUGAAUCGAAAUUCAUUAAAUUUACUGUAUUGAAACUAGAACUCUUUAGAGAAGUUUUAUUUUAUGUUUGAAGUUCCUUUUUAUCUUAAAAAAUUAUGAACCCUAUUCUUAUAUUUUUGGGUAUAAUUCUGAAUUUACAAAAUUAUAACACAAAAGAUUACCUCAUACAAUUAGUAUAAGUUAUAUAAGACACAAAAUAAAAUUUUCCCAAUAAUUAUAAACAUCCACAAAAUUAUUGGAAUACGAAAGUCUCCUUCCCAAUAUAACUUUCAAAGAAAUUUACAGCAAGCGCAUUUGAUUGGUUUUAAUUUUAAUGACCUAUUAAUUUUUUAUAAUUACACAAACAAAAUAUCAUAAAUAUUUUCAAAAGUAAUUACAUGCAGCACCAAUUUACAUAAUCUACAAAACAAAAAAUAACAAAUCAAAUGCCACAAAUUUACAUCCACAUUUUAUUCAUUUUGCCUCCAUUUUCUCCCUUCUAUAUUUCAAAUUAUUUUGUCUAAUAUGUACCAAAACUCCAGCUAUACAAUGACAAAAUAGAAAAAUAUCAACCACAUUCCACUUCAUAUUCUCAAAAUAUCCAUGGAUCCAUACCCGGCCCAUUUCGUCAAUCAGUCCGACCCAAUUGACUAAACCAUAAAGUCAAAGUCAACGUCAAAUCUGAUCAGCUACGCAAAGGCGCAUGUUAGUGCUGGUUCAAAUUAUCCCACAAAGAUGCGCACUUCCUCCUGGCAAAUCCAACUCUCUUCUUUUCCAAAUCAUAAACCACCUCAAACCCUUGUUGCUGAUAAUUACCCAAUAACCCAGCGGGCCCACUUUCCCCUUCAACACCACCGUUCAUCAGCAUCACACAUCCCACUUUCCUUUUCAACUUCCCAUCAUCUCCACCGUCAAAAAAUUCAUAAAAGUAAUUCCUCUUAGGCAUCACCACACUUGAAUUUCCCCCAAAAUGUAAAAGCACCUGUGGCACAUUUGAAGAACCCUUAUCCAAAUAGUAACACGGGCUAAGCCCGGUUCGUUCCUCGACCGGGUUCGCUCGCUUAUAAACUGGUCCAACUCGUUUAUCAAAUUCAGUUACCACUGUUUCAUAAUACACAUGCGGCAACAUAGUAAAAGUCGUACCAGAAUCCACCACCAUUCCCCCGUUUCCUCUGCCGUCGACUCGCCGCAAACUCGCCGGCGCCGGAAUCUUCAUUUUUCCGAUAGUCACUGCUUCAAGUCCAACGCAGUAAAAAUAAGGGUGUUUUGGAUUUUCGAGCAUGGGAGUAUAAGCAUAACCAAUUUCAUAAUCCUUCAUUUGCUUCAUUUUUUCGUCAAUUGGGUAACGACCGAGAAUGAGCGGACUCGGUUGACGAACUUUUGUAGUAUCAAAAGAAUGAGAAACCAAGCAAUAAGAGAAGAAAUUUCCGAUUUCCGGUGAGUUAAUAGCGAGUUGAGCCGGUAAAGAAAGUUUCCCACGGCCAAAACCAGCUACUCCAAUAGGUUCACCAAGUGCACUGUGAGCACAACCGAACGUAAAAUUAUGCAAAAUUAGCGACGACGGAGAUGACGUGGGCAUUGAUAAUUUAUCGUUAUAUAAUUUUGCAAUAAAACUCCCGUCGCCAUAAGCAUAGUAAAAAGGUGGACACGUGUAAGAUUUACAAUCGGAAAUUUCAAUGUCUUCGAGCGGGCACUUCGCCAUAGCACAGAGGUUAGAGGAAGACAUAGAGGAAUGGACGGCGGAGCAGGAGCGUGACUUGCACGUGACAGGGACAGCAGAGGUGAGGUUGAGUGGACCAGGGUUAGGAAUAGUAGAAGGAUUAUACUUGUCUUCACAGAGGAUACAAUCAAAAGGGUGACAAGGGAGCCAAACGACGUCGCUGCCAGUGUCCAUGUAGAGGGAAAUAGUUUGAGAGCCAAGAGAAAAGGAGAGGGUGUAAUCACUUCCCGGAGUGAGAGGGAGGGAGACUUGACGGUGGGGAUGACGGUGGUGGUGGAGGCGAGUGGCGGAGCGAGCGGAGGUGGAUUUGAGGAGAUGGUGAGUACUGUUGUAUUGGGUUUUCGAGAAAGAAUGUGUUAAAGGGAAAACUAAUGUUUCUGCGUAGGAGGAGAAAAGGAAGAGUGAGAAGAAAGUGAAAAGAGUGAAGAAAACAGAGGAAGAAGCCAUUAGGGGAAAACAGAGCAAGACUGAGGUUCAGAAACAGAGUAUUUUGUAUUGAAAUGAAUAUACAGCGGAACACUAUGCACUCGACUUUAUAUUUUCUGUACACACAGAAAGAAAGAGAGGGAUCAAUUUUUGUUUGUAUAAAAAAGAGAGGAAGAAAAGAGGUAUAUAAAGGGGUUGUAGAGGAGAAGAGGAGGAAGGUUCUUGUAGGGGAAAGCGGAAGGGAGGUUUGGUGAGGGAGGGAGGAUUUAGGAGAGGUUUACGGAAAUACUACCAUCACUUAAUUGAUUGCACAUCAAAAGGCAGGCAAUCGAUAAAGCCCUUAGCAAUGAAUUAAUACAUUUAUUUUAAAAAUUUUGAUUUGACGAAGUUGAAUUUAGAUGAAAAUAUAUUUGGACGUGUAUUUUUGAAAUAUAUUUUUUAAUUUUAUUUUGAAAAUAUAUAUAUAUAAUUUUUAAGUUGAAAUUUUGGCUCAAAAUCAAUAAUUGGGAUAAUUUAGGGUUUGCGUUUGAGAUUUUGUCAAAAUAUGAAUAAAUUUUAUGGUCAAACAUGAAUUUUAAAAAUAAAUCCUAAAUUUAUUUUGGCAAAACUUAUUUUGAAGUAAGUGUUUCAACAUAAAAGUUGUAAUUUUUAAAAUUUAAUAUUUACAGUUAAGUUAAAAAUUGAUUUUUUACAUUUAAAAUUACCGCUUAGACAUACAUUUCACUUUAAAAGCUUUUGCAAUUUUGCGACUGGGAUAAUAAAAAAAUUUUGAAAUAUCAACUUUUUGAAAAAUUCGUUUUAAAAUUUUCUUUUAAAAACUUACAAAAUUUUAUGGAUAUCUAUGUCUAUUUUAAAAAGGAUACUCUUUUUUUUUAUGAAGAAACGCUAUCGAAGUUUGUGAUCAUUUUACGGGGUGGUGGGGGGCGGGGGGAAUAUUUUUUUUUAUACAAAUAGUGUUCAAUUCAAUUCACAUGCAAUUUAAUUAUUUUAUUUAUCUAUAAUUCUCGACCAACAAAGAUAAUUGUACCACUAAUGUUUAGGUAAAUAAAAAAAUAUAAUAUUUUGAAUAUUAAUCUUUAGCAUGAAGAACGAACUAACUUUGUUUGAUUCAAAAGAAAUUAGAACCUUUUUGAAUAAAUCAAUUAAAGAAAACAAAGGGGUAAAUCUUAGUCAAACAUAAUAAACUCCAGAUCAAUAAACUAAUUAAAAAAAUAAUACAUAAGAUCAGAUAGGGGUAACUAAUGUUAUUGAAACUUUCCGUUAUCACUCCCAUUAAUCAAUGGUGGAGACCAUUUUACAUAUUUUCUUGGAGAUUCCUUCGUUCCUUUUUUCACUAUGAAAAUUGCAGAGAAGAGAACCGGGGAGAGAUAAAGAAGUGAAAACUCGCGCUCCCCCUUUUACCGCAGGUUUCCCUCCACUAUAUAUAGUUAUGGAACAUUUUUAUAUGUACUUGAUCAGAUGCUCUUUCACACUAUGUCUGCCUUGGUCAUCCCCUGAACGUUAUUUCUUCUGACUCGACAGAUUUCGUGAGUGUGGGAUAUGGCAUGUCGUCUUUCGCUGCCUUGCCGCUUGGAAGGGAUGUUGGUCAGCUUGACCAUAGCGGUCGGUCCCUCCAUCUAUCGGAAUCGUCCCCUGUCGGGCCACGCAGACGGAUUAUGAUUGCUACAAAUUCAAGAGAGAUAUCACUACUUACCCCUUGGUUAUGCUCCUUGGGUUUUAAGUAAGGUGACGACGCUCUUUCAAUAUCCUUGGACCGUUACGGCUGUUUUGAAAUCGAAAUGUCAUUUGGUUUGAAACGUUGUUUCGUGGUUGCCGCCAUUAUGACGCACGUUCCUAAGGAAUCGAAACGUUUCGUUCCCUAUCAGAUUCGAUUGGCGACUCUUGGGUUUGGUGCUAAGGGGAUUAUAUCUCUUAUAAAUAGAAGGAACAGAUCAUUUGAUUGACACACUUCCUUGUCUUUUGCUUGAAAGAAUUUUGCGAAUAUACUUUCUUCUGAUACUCCAAAUUUUCACUCGCCCCUAGUUAACUGAAAACUUUUAUCCUUCCUUUUAAUUAUCUUUUUACUACACCAAAUUGACACAAUGGCUGGUAAUUCUUCUCGCGUUGACCUCACGGUCACAAUUCUGACUCCGAAAAAUGAUGCUCUGGACACUUGAGUAGUAGAAGUGGUGGAAGAUGUGGAGGUCCUGUCGGUAGUCGAGAUCUUGCCUCAUCUUAUGAAAGCAUGGACUGACUUCUGCAUUCACGCCAGGGAGGAGCCCGAACCUGUCCCCUCGGUUAUAAAAGAGGAGGAAAUCGCAUAGUUGAAAGCUAGGUAGGGAAUUUUCCGCUACGUUGACAUGAAGCCGGCGGUAGGGAACGACAUAGUCUAUUUUGACUGCCCCGGGUACUUCGUGUUCUAUGCCUACCCCUUUCUUAUUGGGUGCACACUUCCUCUCCUUCUCCUGGUGGUAGAUUUCUGCCAUUUUUACGAGAUAUGCCCUACCCAUUUUUCGUUGUACCUGUAUAAAUUGUUCCUUAUGUUUCCCUACUCACAUGCUUAAUAUCUUCAUCCCUGAGAUCAUUUGUGGCACGAUGAUUCACAUGCGCCCUCAAGGGGUCGAAGAGUUUGGUGGUGAAAAUGGACGACAAGGCUAACCGUAUUUUUUAUGAGAAUUAUUUCUAUGUGCGGACCGAGACCUUGUGGCGGAUCCAGAGGGGUUCCCUGAGAAGUGGAACUUUACACGUAAGUUUCUUAUGUUUUUAGUCGGAGGGAUGCCUGACCGCUUUGCAUUACAGUACUAAACCCGGUCAUAUUUUUGCAGUUGCGAAAUUGCCCCUCUGUAUGUCGAAGGUAUCCGCAAGUGGUGAGUUCCAUACUCCCUCAUAUGAAGGGGGUUCACACAUGGUCGACCUUUUUAUGAGAUAUUUGGACACAUGCCCCUUACAGGUGAGAUGUCAUUUCUGUUUGUUAUUUUUCCUCUCUUUUUACGUGGUCUCUUAUGUGUUGUUUGUCAAUGCCAGGAAGAGUGCAUAGAGCGAGGGCUCCUACAUUAACUUUUCAUCAUCCUGCAUCAUCUGCUCGCCCUGAUGCAGCAUUUACCGUUCGGUCUUCGUUGAGGGCUGCUUCAAUUGAGUCUACGACUGUAGUUAUUCCUGCGAAGCCCACUCCUCAAACUAAGGUUCUGACUCGUGCCGCUCGGAUGACGGGUGGAUCUCCCCAUACUGAGGAAGAAGAUGAGUCGUCUAAGAGACGGCGAGUGGAAUUUGAGACAACACCUCCAACUGUAAUACAUCGGGACGACUCUCCCUUGACUGGAGCUAUGGCGGAGGUUGAUACCACUCUGCCCGUAAAGAUGGAGUCAGCUGUCUUAUCUUGCCCGUCGAUAAUGGUUCCUUCCACUAUCGUUGAUCAACAACCUAGCGUGAUGGGGGGCCAGAUUUUUUAGGCCUUCAUAUGGUUUAGGACGUGCACUCAUCCUCCAUACCUAGUCAUGCUUCCUCCCCGGCUACUGAAAGGAGAAAGGGCGUCGUGGUCAAUGACUACGAAUCCGAGUCGGACCUCGAUCCUGAUGAUGUUAGGAUGUUUGAAUAGGGUCUUACCCACUCAAUGGUUCAUGCGGGAGGCUCGUCCCGUAUUCUUGAAAUCUCAUCAGAUAUACUCAGUGGUUAAUGCAGGAGGCUCGUCCCGUAUUCUUGAAAUCUCAUCGGAUAUUAAUCUCCUGGGGGACAUAGAGGAUUUGGUUCCAGAGUUCGACAUUUUAUGUUUCGCUUCCGAUAAUGCAGCUCCUCGGGAUGUUCCCGGUAUUGACUUGAUGCAUGAGGUAGACGCUAAGGGCUUGAGAGUACGUUACACUUUUUAUUUCAUAUUUCACUUGUUUUUCUUGGUGAUAUAGUUUUAAACCAUCUUCUCAUUUUUCAGACGUACAUGGUGGAAUUAGAGAGUACUCGGAGGGCUGGCAUUCGGGCCAAGAUUUUCUUGAAAAUGUCGGAGAAGUAUCGGCCCUAUCGCAACAACUGCCGUGAGAUGCACGAGCAGCUGAAGGUGAACCCUGGUGAUCGAUCUCUUGGUGAGGAGUUGAAGAAGAGGGAUCAGGAAUUGAUGCAGGCUAUUCAUAGUAAGAGUGCACUCGAGGAGCAGCUUCAUGCAAAGGACGAAGAACUUGAGUUGGAAAAAGGGGUUGCUGUAGAGUGUGAGUAUCUUCAGGGAAAGCCGAGGUCGAUGCAGUCCGAAAUGGAUCAGAAUCUUAUCAAGGUCGAGGUGAUGAGUGUAGAGUGGAUGGGAAAAUUGACCGAGUUGGAGAGCAAGUUGACAGUUUGGAGAGCAUUGAGAGUGCCUUGUCCUCGGCUUCGGUAAGAGAGGCGGCCCAGGAGAACACCAUCUGUAUCCUCCUCCGAGCAGGAAUCGGAAAGGACGAUGGCCACGCUAAUGGAGGCAAGGCUUGAGGAGCGCAUUAGUGAGAUAGACCAAGAACCAUCGGUUUUGGGAAAUCGAGUCGAAGCUCUGGACGCCGAAAAUGAGUGACUGUUGGAUCAAAUAGAGUUUUCCUCUUUGCUUUUCCCCGUCACUUGUACGAGCUUUGGGUUCAUGCUGAAGUCCAGCGAGAUAUAUACAAGAGUGUCAUGCCACAAACUAGGGGGCAUGACUGGCACUCGAUACUAUAUUCGAUCAAGUUAGCCAUUAAACAUACUAGCUAACUAAACUGGGGCCCAACAGAUCGGGCAGCACAACAUCUGAAAUACUAAUCCCGGACCAUUAAAGUCAUGACCUGAAUAACAAAAGCCAUAUAAACAAAGGUAGACAAGCCGACAUAAUAAAGUACUAGAUGGCGGACGAGGCCACGAUUGGAGACAUACAUGCCUACACACACACACACACACACACACACACACACACACACACACACACAUAUAUAUAUAUAUAUAUAUAUACAUGCCAAGCUUAUGGCCUGGAGACUGAAAGCUGCAAAAAGAAACCCAUAAUAUUGUGUCCACAAUAGCCUCUAAGAGUGUCAUAAGAACUGUCGAGACAAGGCCCCGACUAUACCCAAAUGGUACAACAAAAGUAACCAUCCUAUGGAAGCUACAAGAAGAGGUGGAGCUUACCAACUCACAGUUGAACCUCGAAAUCCCAGUGGAGGGGUCGAUCAGAGUCCCUACAUGGACUUGCACGCACGAAAUAAAAAUGCAGUUUCCCCAGGCAACGGGACAUCAGUACGAAUAAAAAUGUACUGGUAUGUAAGGCAGGGUUUAGAAUCAUACAUAGUUGAUGAAAAAAAUAAUAGUGAUACCACCUGACACUGAAACUCUGAUAGCCUCCAUGGACGACAUCCGACCUCAUAGUAAUCAAAUAUGCAUGGUAUGCUCGUGUAAUCGUAUGUUGUGAAUACAUAUAUAUUGAUGCGAAUUCAUGAUAUACCCAACCAAAUGCUAGCAACGGCGUUCUCUUCCGGCAGCUAACCGGUAUCAUAUUACCAACAUGUGGCCAUCUAUACAAUUUUUUCGGGCAAAUAGGCCCCUUAUCUCCAAUUAUAGCUCAAAGUAUAUGCAUAAUAUGCCAUGUAUGAUAUAAACUUUGAAUGCACAUAAUAUGACAUAACAAGAACUUAGCCAAUCUUGCCUCAUAGGUACUCUUAUUCUCAUCUCACAUUCGUAUCGCAUACAAUUGUCUCGUGGAACCUUUUAUGUUUUCUUUUUCCUUUUGAUUAAGCUCGAAAACUUGACUCUAUUUUUAUAAAGAUAAAUUAACUUGGAACAUGUUCAUAAAACUUAAGGUACCUCACUUGGUCAAUAUACAUGAUUUCUCGAUAAUUAAUAAAAUAAAGUAUUUCAAAAUCAAGUGCUUUAGUAGCUUAAACACAAAAAAAAAAAAUUAUAUUAGAGUUUUUUGGAAAUCGACGUGCCACUUUUGAGAUUCUAAAAAAAAUAAAAAAUACAUUUUAACAAGGAAGAAGGAUUGAUCACAAACACUAAAUGCUUUUAUUUUAUUUAGUCACAUCACCCCAAAACGAAUAAGAAUUCAUAUAUAUAUACGCAUAGAUAAGAAGCCGACAAAAUAACAUAUAUAGCUGUCGAAUACCCUAUUUAACCGAACGUGUGGAAUACCUAAUAGAAUUUUGAAAAUACUUCAGCUACAAUUCCAAUGCCUUUCACAAAAGGUCCUUCUAGCAAUAGGAUAGCAAAAUAACACAUUUGGCGUCUUAGGAAUUUCCAAGAAUUCGUGCAAAAAGGAAGGACGAAGCUUAGCCUUAACAUACCUUUCCAACGAACGUCCGAAUGCCCGUAGUUCCUUCACAAAAGUUGUUCCUUACGUCCUAACUAUCUUUAAUGAGUCUAAAAACCGGUGCACAGUAACGGUUCUUGGAACAACCAUGUAUUUAUGUCUUAACGGAACCUCAGCACUUUCGAUGUACCUGGCUAUUACCUCCAAAGAUCCUAAGCUUUGCAAACACACUAUAUAUACAGCUUAUACACACACCUAUAAACAGUUUAUAAUUAAGUAUAAAUGGGAAGAUUUUCCAGUAGACUUUAACUUGACAAAACGUCCAUAAAACUUUGUAAAAACGAUCAUAAAAGAGUCCCAAGAUGAUUAACUUGACAAACCAAGAAUAAAGCUUGAAGAACCAUCAAGAACAACAAAUUUUUGUCUUCCAAAAAUAGCUCCAAACACAGCUAAUAGAAGGGGGAAACAAUUGGAGAUAGUAUAGAUCGAGUUUCUUGGCACGAGGGAAAACUUUAAUAGUUAAAAUCGUUAAAAUUGCUCCUUAAUCACUCAAGAACACCAUGGAACCCUCUCUUAAGAUUUCUCACUGUUUUGAGACUGAAAUAAAAUGUUUUGGGGCUUCAAAGUAGUGAUUAUCGGCUUUUAUCACGUGUUUGAUCCGACCGAGUUCGCGACCCGAUUUAAGUCUGGAUAGUCCAGAUUAAAACACUCAUAACUUUUUACUCCAAUGUCCGUUUGAUGUGAGGUUUUUUUGGUUGAAAACAAGACUCGUAGAAAUUAGAUUUAAUAGGUUGUGGGUCUCAUAACUCUUUAUAUGUUGGGAUAAAUGAUCUGAUACAUUUGACCCAAAGUUUAGAAAAUCUAUUAGAGAAAGUUACGAUAAAUUUUGCCGACCUUUAUUUCGCAACUUGCUUGUCUCCAAAACAUAACAUGUGACAAGUGUGAUAUUAUACAUAAUCAUAUAUACAUAAUAUAACCAUGACACGUUACGUAUAUUACGUAAGAGAAGAGGGAAAAAAUCAUGGGGUCUCACAAAGAGUUUGUGAGAGGCGAGCAGUUUUAUCGAGGCCGCAUAUGAAGGAGUGCGGGCGAAGGCGCGAGAGGCUCAUAUCAAUUGUGGGUAUGACUCAGCGACACCGGAAGCUGAUGAGGGAGUGGAUACCGAGGGAGGAUUUUUUGGAGAUGGCGAUGAAGAGGGCGGCGAUGAUGACGCUGAGUGAAAAGAUAGUUGUCUUUGUCUGUUUUCUGUCUUUUUUUGUUAUUUCUUUCUCCCUCCCCCCUCCUUUUUAGACUAUUGAUUCAAGACGUAUGUAAUCUGUGAUUGUUUGCGCAGUGACUUUGUAUAAAGAUGAAUUUUUCAUUAUUAUAUGCCGUGUACUUUUUCUCUAUUUUUGCUUUUAGUGAUUUGGGUGCAAAGUAGAUUUUUUAGGAAGAGUUCCCUAAUUCAUUAGGACUUUAAUGCCAUUCGUAUUAAAUCGGAUCUUGAUGACGGAUUUUGUUGGGCGGAUGGUGCAUUCGAAUGCGUUGAGAUGCUACCCCGUCAUUUUUUGAAUGGUAUCGAACUUUUCUUCUUCUUUUUUUUUUUAAAACGACCUUACUCAUAGGGGUGUUACUUUCGGGCUUAUAUCGAAGUGUUAUCCCAUUAUGAAUCCUGAUCUUUCUUUCCCUUUCUAUUUUCUGACGGCCCUUGGCUUUAGGAAUAUUUUGAACUUUCUCUUUGGCGAUGGAUCUUGGCCUCGAGGGUGUGAUUUUGAACUUUUGUCGAAAUAUUAAUCUGUCACUGUCCAAUCGAGGUCGGACUCUUCUUUUUGGUGAAGGGCCUCGGCCUUAAUGGUUUUAUUUCGAACUCGUCAAAAUAUUAACCUGUCUUCGUUCGAUCAAGGUCGAACUCUUCAUCUAUCGAAGUCCCUUAGCCUUAAAGGGUGUUAUUUUGAAAUUAUCGAAAUAUUAACCCGUCGUUUGUCUGAUCGAGGUCGGACUCUUAUUCUUGGAGAAGGCCCUUGGCCUUAAAGGUGUUAUUUUAAACUCGUCAAAAUAUUAAUCUGCCAUUGUUCGAUCAAGGUCGAACUCUUCUUUCUGGCGAUGACCCUUGGCCUUAAUGUGUUAUUUUGAAGUUGUCGAAAUAUUAUCUCGACGUAGUUCGAUUAGGGUCAAACCCUUCUUUCUAGCGAAGGCCCUUGGCCUUAAAGGUGUUAUAUUGAACUCGUCGAAAUAUUUACAUGUCGUCAUUCGAUCAAGGUUGAACUCUUCUUUUUGGCGAUGGCCCUUCGCCUUAAAGAUGUUAUUUAUAACUUGUCAAAAUGUAACCCGUCUUCAUUCGAUCAAGGUCGAACUCUUCUUUCUGGGGAAGACCCUUGGCCUUAAAGGAAAUUAUUACGAUCUUGUCAAAAUUUUAAACUAUUGUCGUUCAAUCAAGGUCGAACUCUUCUUUCUAGCGAAGACCUUUGGCCUUAAUAGUGUUAUUUUUAACUUGUCGAAAUACUAACCCGUUGUCAGUCCCAAUUUUUAGAGAAUUAGGUUUCCUCUGCGGGAGUCCCAGUUCGUUUGAUAUUGUUUGCAUUGAAGAGUGUAAUGUCGGAGAGUACGAAACUUUGUUGUUUCAGUUAUGUUCGUUUUGUGUACACAUUGGAAUUUUCUUGUCUGAUUCCUGCUUUUCGGUCUGGAGUUGUCAUCGAUGGGCGAUGUUUCGGUUGCCUUGUAGUAGUUUUCCAUUCUCUAAUUUAGAUAUUCCUUUGCUCGCUCGCCCGCGUGGAAAUUGUCUUCCUCCUUAAACAAAGAGCAGAAGGUGAGUCAUAUGAUACUUUCCUUACCCCCUUUCAAUGAGUCGGUGAAUGAGAGUGGCAUUGUAACGUUGCUCGUUUUUUCUGGCAUUUUGACGGUUGAUGGGGUGAUGAUUGUUAAAUUCGGUGACAUUAUUCAACUCUCUUUUCCCUUCUAUGUUGCGCUUUUGCCCUCUGUGGGUUGGGCUUUGCCUUAGCGCUCGGUGGAUAAUCGUGCUUCUUGUCUUUGAUCUGGAAGAAACUAGGAAAUUUCACUAUGAAAUCCCCACAGACGGCGCCAAAUUGUUUGACUCAAAAGAUAUUAGAACCUUUUUGAAUAAAUAAAUUAAAGAAGAUGAAGAGGUAAAUCUUAGUCAAACAUAAUAAACUCCGAUCAAUAAACUAAAUGAAAAAAUAAUACAUAAAAUGAGACAGAGGUAAAUAAUCUUAUUGAAACUUUUCAUUAUCACUCUCAUUAAUCAAUGAUGGAGACCAUUUUACAUCUUUUCUUGGAGAUUGUUUUGUUCCUCUUUUCACUAUGAAGAUUAUGGAGAAGAGAACCAGGGAGAGAGAGAAAGAAGUGAAAAAUCGCGCGUCCCCGAUUACCGAAGGUUUUCCUCCACUAUAUAUAGUCAUGGAACCUUUGCUAUGUAAUUGAUCUGACGCUCUUUUACAUUAUGUCUGCCUUGGUCGUCCCCUAAACGUUGUUUCUUCUGACUCGAUAGAUGUCGUAGUGCGGGAUAUGUAGUAGACCAUGUCGUCUUUCGCUGUCUUGAUGCUUGGACGAAAUGUUAGUUAGUUUGACCGUAGCGAUCAGAUUUUGACCAAUACAAAUUUGAUACGUAUAUUCCAUAUAAUUAAUAAUUAAGGUGGAGGAUUUCAUUAAUAGCACAAUAUCCUUUACCAUUUCCUCCAUCCCCUCCCCCCACAAAAUAAAAUAAAAAAUCCUAGUCUUUAGAAUUUUGUUUUGAUUCUACUAAGUUAUACCAUUAUAUUCGAGUGCAACUUCUCAAACGACAAUGAUGUCAUUCUUUCUAUGAGGAAGACAAACUAUUUCUGAAAGUAUGCUAAAAAUGAAUUCAAUUUAAGUUUUCUUAAAAAUUAAUAUGUGAGUUUAUACUUAAAGUUUGAGCUCAUUUGGCGAAAUACCAAGAUAAUUAUUUCCAAAUAGUAGUUGACCAUGAGGUUUGGGUUGCAAGUGAGAAAUAAAAAAUUAUGAUUAAAGUGUUUUAAGUGAAUUUUGUCAAAACUUCAAUUUACAAACUUUUUCUCAACUUGAACAUCAGAUGUUAUUUUUGUAACUUCAACUCAAAUACUUUCCAACCGCAUAGAAUUAUUUUGACAAUUGUAUUUCAGCUUCUGCCAUGAUUUUUCAGGCAUCUCCAAUAAUCACUCUAUUUUUUGUAUUAUUUUUCACUUUAAAAUAAUGCAACACCAAAUUUACUCCAACCAUUAUACCAUUUUUCACACUAAAUUUUCUCUCUUUUAUAUUAUAUUAUUAUUUUUUACUCAAACCAUUUUAUUUCUCUCUCUUGUCUUCUAUUUACUUUACACUAAAUAAAUAAAAUAUUAUUAAACUGAAUAUAAAAUAAUAAUUAGUGUUGCUGUUCAUACUCUAUAAUAAAGCAACAAAUAAAAUACUAUUGAAACAAUAUUAUUCAUGAUUAUAUAAAGACGAAAAGUUAUGACUUGAGAUAUUUUCUCUUUAAUGAGCUUACGCUACACGAAUCUAAAUUAGUCAGCCCCAAUAUGGAUACUGAAUGCUAGACGAGAAAAAAAACUAAGGUGACAAUGCCUUCCUCUAAACACUAGCAAUCAUGAAUGGAUAAGCCUAAAUCUUUGGGCAGGUAACAACGCAGGGAAUAUUGAACUUAUUUAAUAGUCAGACCAAAGCUUUAAAUAAAGCUAAAGAUAAAUUAGUAGGAAGUCAACGAUGUCAAGGUCAAACAAUAAGCAUUUUUUCCAUUCAGUAUUCAGUAUUUUUAUUGGAGCAUGAUUGAAUUCGAAUUGGCUCCAAAAAAUCUCAUAUUAAAAGGUAAAAUAUUUUCUAACAAAUACGACUUUAUUUUCGAAAAUCGAAUUCAAAACUUUUACUUAAAGAUGAAUGAAUAUUUAUCACUCCACUACUAUCCGUGCCGGUAAUAAGUGGAGUUUUUCUUCAAUGCAUGAGCUGUAUUAAGGGUUUAAAGUACAUUCAUUGCCCAAAUUAAAGACACUUUCCAGAUCUUUUAUUGCAGCUGAAAGCAAAUGUUUUGUAUUGGUUGUUUAAAUUCCUUAUACCCUAUUGGAUUUACCCGUUUAUCGAAGCACAUUUACUCCAUUUCUUUUUCUUCAUUUUCCUCUUCUAUUUUAUUGCAAAGGAGAAGUUUUUGGCAAAAUUAUUUUGAAAUAUUGCCAUCCUCUACUCAUCUUUUACCCAAACAAAGAGGUAUUUAAGAGUUUAAUUAGAAGAGGGAAGCAAAUAAAUCUCUAUACUUAUAUUUCUUUUACUGAAGAUAUAAUAUUGUACCAAGAUAUGGGUCCUAAAAAUCUGACGAGCCUUUUUCUUUUUGGGGUUAAACUGACGAGUCUUUGAUUCUCUUUUCUCUUCCCCUUUUAUUUUUUCCCUCUUUUAAGUCUUUAAUUUUUAAAAGUACAAGACGAGGUGAAUUAUUUUUUAAAAAAUAAUUGUUAUAAGUUGAUUAGUUUUUCAAUUAGUAAACUAGAUGUAAUAGCAAAAUAUUAAGAGGUGCAGAAUUAAAAUGUAGAAGAAAAAGUGCAGGAAUUAACGAUACCGGAGUUUUUAUACUGGUUCGAAUUCAAUGUGAAUCGUAGUCUAGUCGCCUUGGUUGAAAGGGAGUUCUCUUUCGGUAAUUGAAUUUCUUGAGUACAAAGUAAAUGGUAUAGUUUACACCAACAACUCAAUUUCUACGUCACUCGUAUUUUCUCGAUACAAUUCAUCACCAAUAUUUUUCUUUCUUUCUUUUCUAACUUGUUACACAGCAGAUCUAGUCGAGCUACAAUAUUUGUUUGCAGUAGAAUAAAUAGAGGAUAAUUGAUUUGAUCAAAGUGUAACUCUCCAGGACUUAAGGUUACAUAUAAACACUUUGUAGGAGCACGUCUAUAUCGAAGAGAUUUGUCAACCCAAGAGAUUUGAUCCUUGUAAGAAAUUGAUUUUUUCUAAGAAUAAGGUUAAUUCCCGUUACUCUUCCUUGAUGAGUGAACUUUGACACCUUUCCAUUUUUAACUCUUGAUAGCCGUGGAUUUGCUCCUUAAAUCUGGGUCCUUCCAGUAAUAGCUUCUGAAUGAUUAUCUUGCCGGAUCUUCAAUACCUCUUUUUCUUUUUAGCGCUUCAAUCAAUCUCUGAUUGAUUUCUUCCUUCAGCUUUGAUUGCUUUUCUUCGAUCUUGGUUGAUUUCGUUGAGUCCCUACACCAAAUGCAAUUGUAUUAUUUUUCACCAUUAAAACUAAAACCUAACAUUUUUAACAUGUAAAAAUUCAAUGUAUCAUACUUAAUUAUUUUUUUAUCGUUAAUUAUGUUUAACAAAUUAUCUUGAUUUCUUGGCUUUGAAGUUUAGGCCUUGUAAAUAACCUUAUGAGAUGGCAUUAGAUUGAAACAUAUAGUGGUCUUAUCCAAGGUUAAAUUAAUUUCUGUAUUUGACUUGAUUUAGUAAUGUGAUUGAAAACCUUUUUUUGGGUGUAACACAUAAUUGACAUUUUCUUAGAUAAGUAGCUUUUUUCUAUGACGUGAGGGAAGAAGAAGGCGAGCGAAAGACAGUGAGAAUCGAACUUACACCUAUUAUGUAAAUUUCUUUUACUAAUACGACUAAACUAUAUUCUAGCCUUGUACAUUGAGUCAACUUAUGACUAAGUAAGAAAAUAUAUCAAUAUUUACUUAACCCCCCUCACCCACCCACCCCACCCCAAAAAAACUAGGAAAAAUUCAAAUUUGGAAAAGGUGCAUGAACUUAGUUCCAAUAAAUUGGGACCAUUCUCCUAAAUAUUAUGCCCUAUGCCCUAUGCCCAAUGCUCUUGAGUUCAACGUCAAUGCAAUUUUUAUGAUGACAUUUCCCAAAUGAAGAUCCUAUUUCUUUCCUAUGGCAGCUCUUUUUUAUGAAUAUAAUCAAUCAAAAUUUCAUCCAUUGUAGUUGGUGAUUGCCUGGAUGUGUGUGUUAUCAUCAAAGGUAAAGCAACCUUACUUCAGAUUCUCUCUGCCCGUAUUGAAUACCCCGGUUAGUUUUGUAUUAAUAUCGUAAAAGUUUACCUAGUUUAUAUAUAUUAUGUUUUCUCACACCAAAAAUCAGCUCAAAAGUUGGGUUCUAUAUUGUUUAAUAAAAAAAUAACGGUUAAGGGUCAGAUUUGCCCUUAUACUAUUCAAAAUAAGCUACAUUUACCCUCCGUUUGAAUUCUUUAACAAAUAUACCCCCACCGUUACACAUUCGGNNNNNNNNNNNNNNNNNNNNNNNNNNNNNNNNNNNNNNNNNNNNNNNNNNNNNNNNNNNNNNNNNNNNNNNNNNNNNNNNNNNNNNNNNNNNNNNNNNNNNNNNNNNNNNNNNNNNNNNNNNNNNNNNNNNNNNNNNNNUUCAUAUUAACCCACCCAUUGAAGUCUUGCCACCCGACCGAUCCGAAGCCAAAUAACCCGCCCCGACCCCCAGGUAUUUAUUUCCUAAAUCGUUACUUUCCAGACCCUUCUCCAAACCCUUCCCCUUCGUCUUCCUCUCAUUUUCAUCUUCCUCUCAUUUCGUUCAAGAACAACGAAUUAGGCUUUAAGUUUGGAGAAUGAGAGGAAGAUGAACCAUCAAACAAACCUUUUGCAAAUUUCAAAUUAGCUUUCACGGGAAACGUUUCCUUCAUACCAAUAGCACCAAACAAGAAGGAAAAAAACCAAAAUAUAGCUUUGGGCAUGCUUCUCUGGUUAUCAAAAAUCCCCAUGAAUGUAGCAGAAGGUUACAUCCUCCUUUUCUCCUCAAAUUAAAGAAGAUGUGCAAAACAUGUUUCAAAUAAUCAUAUACAAUUCCUAGUUCCCAGUUAAUAAUCGACUAGAUGUUCACUAGCAAAAAAACACAAUACCGUAUCACAAAAGCAAAAUUAGAACCAGAAGAAAAAUGAGGUAAACUAAAUUUGAUUUCAGCUUAUAAUUAAGUAGCAAACAUCACAGUAAAACUUUGUGCACACCUUCGCACAGGAAUCAUAGUUAUCACAACUCCAAAUAUAAAGAACUAAUUCUGAAAAUUAAAUCUAAAGAGAAAACCCUAACAGAACUCCGCAGCUCAUGGUCAAGAGAUAAUGGGGGGAAAAAGAGAUGGAUCUUUAGAAUCCGAGCUUGGUGCGGCGCCAGUGCCUGCGCUUGGCGUUGUAACGGAUGGUGUUGUCAGUGCGCAUGCAGAUCCAGUAAGGAAUAGGCCUGUUCUGCCUCUGCUUCUUCGCCAGCUUCUUCUUUAUCAUAAAUGUCUUGUGCGAAGGCUGAAAUUUCAAUAAACACAAACAUAUAAAUCAAACAUUUGUCACAGUAAACGAAGGGGAAAGGGAAACAAAGCAAUGAUGUACCAUUUUCGUUAAGGGGAAGGGUUUGGAGAAGGGUCUGGAAAGUAACGAUUUAGGAAAUAAAUACCUGGGGGUCGGGGCGGGUUAUUUGGCUUCGGAUCGGUCGGGUGGCAAGACUUCAAUGGGUGGGUUAAUAUGAANNNNNNNNNNNNNNNNNNNNNNNNNNNNNNNNNNNNNNNNNNNNNNNNNNNNNNNNNNNNNNNNNNNNNNNNNNNNNNNNNNNNNNNNNNNNNNNNNNNNNNNNNNNNNNNNNNNNNNNNNNNNNNNNNNNNNNNNNNNNNNNNNNNNNNNNNNNNNNNNNNNNNNNNNNNNNNNNNNNNNNNNNNNNNNNNNNNNNNNNNNNNNNNNNNNNNNNNNNNNNNNNNNNNNNNNNNNNNNNNNNNNNNNNNNNNNNNNNNNNNNNNNNNNNNNNNNNNNNNNNNNNNNNNNNNNNNNNNNNNNNNNNNNNNNACACGUGUUUAAAAAAAUUGAGGAAAAAAGUUUUAACGGUGGAAGGGUAAAUGUGGCCCGAAAGUGUAAUGGUGGGGGUAUAUCUGUUAAAGAAUGCAAACGGAGGGUAAAUGUAGCUUAUUUUGAAUAGUACAAGGGCAAAUCUGACCCUUAACCGAAAAAAUAAUAUUUUGGUUAAAGCUAGAAUUUAAGAUAAAAUUCGGGUUACUGAUAAUCAAGAGAUCAAAAUGAAUAAUAAGCUUUUUGAGAAUAAAAAUAAGACAAUAAAUAAGUUUGUAUUUCAGUAUGAUAUCAAUGAUAUUUCGUGUCUUUACAAAUGAUGAGACAUCUUCCUUUUAUAGUUGAUUCUAGGUAAAGGAAUGAAAUCUCAAUUUUUAGUGAGACAAUUAUGAGCAAUAAAUGACAUUAAAUAAGCCGUUACACAAUCAUUCCCAUUAAAUACCAAUUCUAUAACGUAUCAGGUAUUUAAUUGUAACGACCCGGCACGUCGUCUCAGGUAUCUCCGCCCCGUUCCCCGUUUUAUGCUUUCAUAUGUUUCAUUAUAUGUGUUUGGAAAAUUAGAAAUAAUUCGGAUAGAGUUGGUUAUAAAUGAGAUAAUUAGUCUCUUUAUGAGAAGCUUAGUUUGGUAAAUUCAACUAAAUGUUGACUUAUGAGUUACAGAGCUUGGAAUGGAUUUCCGACGGUUCGACUAGGUUCGGGUGAUGAUUUGUGAUUUAGGAGCACAAUCGAAAUUGAUAUUGGAGGUCCGGUGUAGAAUUACGCUUGAAUUGGCUAAGUUUUAAUUUU
rnacentral:lncRNA from 1 species